UGCCGGUCCUAAUUGUUCUACUAAUGUAGAUACACACAAUGGGGUCUAAAAAAAGCAAAAGGAAAGUAAUGCUAGUAGCUGGCAAUAAAAAAAAACGAAUUAACUGAUGUGGCCGGAGGGAGUAGAUAAGACGUACUUCACCGGCUGCAACGACGAGCAACACCACCGGCUGCUUGGGCGUUGAACGCGCGAUAAAAAAAAACUGCCGUUGAUGAUCUUACGUACUCUCUGCUGGAAUAAAAAACGCGUAGCAGGGCCCACCUACGUUGUUAGCGCGCGACUGAAACAAAACCUGGCCUGAAGGGCUAAUUAGCAGCAAUCUCGAUGGGAAAGAUCCAACGGCUGCAUGUGGGUGGAGCAGCGGAUCCACCAAGAGCCAUCGGACUAAUUCGUCCUCGUACCGCUCUCCCAGCUUACGUCGAUCUUCCAGCGGAUUCAAGUUUCUCUCUCUCUCUCAGUCAUCUUUUUGUAAAACAAUCCAGCGGUGCCCACCUCCACACAUCGUCGGUAUAUUAACAAGGUGAAGUCUUUCCCCGCAAAAAAAGGGUAUAUUAACAAGGUGAAGUCCGUACGUCCCCGCAAAAAAGGGUUUAUUAACAAGGUGAAGUCCUUGACUCGUUAUAGAUCUUUGAUUUCCCCGCAAAAAGAAGGUUCUAGAGCUGCCAAAAAAAAGAAGGUUUAUAGAAACCCAAGUUUGACUCGCUACUGCUCGAUCUUUGAUUGCUUAUCGCGAUACAAAAUUAGAGUUAAAACCUUUUUAAAUUAUUUGCAGAGUGCUGAAGCGUCUGGGGAGGCCCUGAUGUCGAUAAAUUCGAUCAGAAGGAUGGACAAGAAGGUGAGUCGUGCUCCGUGGCAAGUCUUUUUUUUUUUUUGGAAAUUGUUACUCCAAGCUAGCUCGUCCAGACGUCUAUGUAUUCAUGUUCAUGUUCAUGUUCGUGGGCGUGUUUGGCUGGGUAAAGGCAGCAUUCGGGCACAACAUGCGUAUGGAGGCCGAGGGAAGGACACUCUUCUGUACGACUGAAUGUGGCUCGUCUUCUCAGGCUAACAUGCAACGACUGUCAACAAUGGAGGCCGCAGCGUGUUGGAAUGGAAAAUCUGUUGGGUGAGUUUCUGAUGGACGCCCAGGAAACGAAAAUACUCGUACGGAGUAAGCUGUCGAAACACACAGGUGAAACUAAGAUAUUUGUGAAAAAGAAACCACAAAAAAGAGAUGACUGUGUUACAGAAUUGGGGAAUUACCUGCAGCUCUACCGCCGGGAGGGCCUGCAUGGGUACCGGUGAAUGAAAUAUGGAAGCCAUUUGAUCAUCAGUCAAACAUUCAUACAUUGGGGUUCCGUUUUAAAUGCCUUGAGAAAUGAAGUAGAAAAAUCAUGUUAAAAACAGCAAAUUGUAUGUUUGUUCAUGUAAUUACCAGGACACAAAAAAUAAAGAAGCCAAGAAUAAUGGACCUGGCCGGUCGCUGGAGCUUCGCCAUCGUAAAUCGAUACAUCCUCGGAAGAAAUUCCAGCAAUUGAUGCUAUUGUUUUCAGGAAAUGUUCCAUCAUCUCAAGGGCACGUACGCUUUAAUAUGAGUGCAUUUCAACGUCAUGAGGAGUUCUAGAAUUUUCUCCUUCCUUUCUGGUUCAGGAGCAGUAAUCGCUAACAUGAACUGGGUGUUCUCAUCGACACUGGAGAUGAGUUCCCUUUGUUGCUGAAGCUGAAGAACUUGUGUGGCGGCAUCAACAAUCUGCAGUGGUGGUACAAAAAGUGCUUUAGUGGCAUGACUAAGUUUAUUGGAAGGCCUAAGAGAAUACAUCUUUCUCUCCACUGAAGGGCUGAGAAUACCACACCAAAAACCAAGCUUUCCAAAAUGGCAUCACUAUUCACUUUUUUGGUUCCACAAUACCACCACCGUGAGUCAUCGUGAGUCAAACCGUCAAAAUCGUGGUCAGUUUUUCUCUUAUACCCGAUUUAACCUCAGAAUUACCCUCAGCCCUCUCCUUCCCUAACCCAGACGCGACCGAGUCUCUCUUCAGUCUCCUCCCCCAUCCCCGAUCCAUGGCGGUGGCCCCCACAUCCUCCGGUCCCGCGCCCGCUCGGCCGAAAUGAUGCGGCCACUCCCACACCACAACGCCGCCGGCCGUGUCCGCGGCUCCCCCGAUCUCCGUCCCCGUGCCGCUCGCCCCCUCCGCUGCCCCCGUCGCUGCACUGCACGCCUCCCCUGCCGACACUGCCCUGCACGCCGAGCUCGCUGACGGGCUCCUCCACGAGGCCACGCCUGUUGGAGCGGACAGCGGCUCGGCCCAACUACUCAUACGUGAGCUGAUGCCUUACCAGUCCAAGUCCACACGAGCCCACAACAUAUAAGGCCUUGAGCCUAAUUUAACCCAAAAGACCGAUCCAAUAUGUGAGAUUUGCUCCACCUUAUAUGUUGUGCUCCCCCACAGUCAAUUUCCGAUGUGGGACUAAACCCAACAUUCUCCCCCGUCACACAUUGGGCUGAACGGGCUCCCCCAUCAUCUGGAAAUGUUAGUUUUUUUUUCAACCAUGGGCCUUGAUCUCCCGUUAUUAAGAGAUCAACCACGAGGCUCUGAUACCAAUUGUUGGAGCGUACAGCGGCUCGGCCCAACUACUCAUACAUGAGCUGAUGCCUUAUCAGCCCAGGUCCACAGGAACCCACAACAUAUAAGGCUUUGAGCCUAACUCAACCCAAAAGACCGAUUCAAUAAGUGAGAUUUGCUCCACCUUAUAUGUUGUGCUCUCCCACAGUCAAUUUCUGGUGUGGGACUAAACCCACCAACGCCGCCAUUUCCUCCAACGACCAACAGCAGUAGCAGCAGCCGGUUCCUCACUGCUCUCCAUCUCCAUUAGAUUCACAUACAACAAGGUAAUGGCAUCCCAUCUCCCUAAGUUAUUGACUCUAGCUUCGAUUUGAGAUCUCUUUCGAUUUUUGUUACGGCGACGUGCAGCAAAUUUAGAAUUUUUGUUCGAAAAGUAUACCGAAAGGGCCAAACAUGGGAGUUUGUGGCUGAAAUGCUGCUUUUUCUGUUGUUUGCUGCUGUAAUUUGCUGUUUUGCUGCUGUUAAUUGCAGCUAUGAAGAACUGAAGAUGUUGUCUAUUUGAAGAGGUAUAAGAGUAUAUGUGUCCAAGUUUGUGGUUGUUGAGGUCUGUCAAGGGCUGUUAGUCCACGGUGGUAUUUUGGAGUGAAAAACUAAGUUUUAGUAGUAUCUUGGAAUGCAUGACUUUUUGAGUGGUAUUUUGGAGUCUUAGGUUUCUCUUAGUGGUACUGUGUUAAUUUUUUCAGAAAUCCUACAGACAGGAUCGUCCACAUCGAUGUUUUCUUUUAGAAUCUUUAAUUAUUUUUUUUAGAAUCACGCCCACGUCGAUGUGUUCCGUUCCCCCUUCUUGGUUUGUUCUUGGGCCUGGCUGGGCUGUCGGCAUUUCAUGUUCUCCGGUGGGCCUUUCUGUUUCACUGGUGUAGUUUCGGUGUGUUUGUGCGAAUAUUACUAUUGGCUCUCGGGAUCCAGCGCUCCUUGUAUUUGGUGCACCCAUUUUUUGAUCCGACGGCACACAUGGACAGGUCCUUAUAAGUAUAGGAACACCCCUUUCUAGUAUGGCCCGGUAUUUCAGGCAGCCCAUUUAAUUCUCUUUUGACUUCUUGGUCCAGGACAGCCUUGCAGAUACAUGGGCCGGAUCAUGUUUCCCCACACAAUGAACGUUUGCGAUUUUUUUUGAUGUUUUCUGCUGAUCCAGCCCAUGUCGGCGCCCGAAUUUUUCGACUGGCACAGGUCACAAUUUUGGAAUGGUACAGGAAGUUCAGAUGGGCCGGAACAUGUCCCGGAGGAUGAUCUUUUCUUUGAAUCGGUCCAUGCGUGCAGUCACAAUUUUGAAAUGGCACGGGAACAUAUCAUGGGCCGGUACAUGUUUUCCAAUUUCGUUUAUUUCGUCAUUACUAUUUCCAUUUUUACCGGCCGGGUUGUUUUUGUAUUUUUUUACAACGGUCCAGGUUAGUUGAGGACCAAAAAUCAUUUCCGAUUCGUCAACACUUUUUGCACCAUUACAUGAUAUUUGCCAAAAAAUUUACCUUCUAUAAAUGCUGUUUCCUUUGCCAGCUCAUCAACCAUCUUCAUGAAUCAUGUUUCUGUUUCAUGAGUCGAGGGUAAUCAUCUCACAUCGGCCAUGCAACCAGUUAUCCAUCCACAUUUCUUCUUUUACUUAUACAGUACGUUGCAGCUUCCGCUAACUCAAUCCACAGCCGCAAGAACAGAUCCACACAAAUUCUCCAGAAAUCCCCAUGGCCGGCCGGAAGCACUCGCUGUACUGGUGGCUUACAGGCGAUGAAUCGCCAGCUCCACCAAGGCCGGCGCGUCAUCGUUCAGUCAGCCCUCGCUCCUGUUGCAUGCGCACGCCGCCGCCUCCAACCCACAGACGUCCACCUGCCGGCAGCGCUCCUCCCCAAGACAGAGACGAGGAACUGGAGGCCUAUUUCCAGUCUGUCAUGGAAGGAUCGGAGGACGAUUUUGGGCCAGCUGAAGACGAAGACGACGGGGGAUUUCUCGACUGCCCCGGUGUCAACUCGACCACCGAUGACCGCAUCAUCAUCGAGAUUUCCUCCGAUGAGGAGUAGUCACUCAAGCAAAGGAGUCUAGUUAGCUCGUCAUCUUUUAUUUUAGCCAUCCUCUGUCACUUCAUGCAUGUUAUGUGUCUGUCGUUUGUCAUGAAAUAAAUCAUCCUUUUCUUGUGUUACGAACACUGGAUCGAUUUAUUUUAUUGCCCGAUUGGUCCUGUUAAGCAACAACAAGCACAAAUAAAACAUUCUGUCGCUCACUGCUCUAAUCCAGAAUGAAAACGCUAAACUAGCUCUUGUACAUCAGUACAGCAACUGGUACAAUCAGCAAGCAAACUACAACUUUGAGCAUUUCAGAUAUCUCCUUUCCGAUGCCCACCAGGGGCCUAACUACAUUGACUAAAUCUUCAGAUGCAUCCUUUUUUUUUCUUUUCUUUUUUUCGAAAAGGAGGACUUCCCCCGGCCUCUGCAUCGUUCAGACGCAUCCUGGAUAAGCCUCGAGUGGUUGUCUUCAGCCAUCCCAGCAUCUACCACAACCCACCCCGUAGGAAUCAGCAUAGGCGAUUCUUGUGGAACUGUUCCAGUUUCACACAGAAACCCGGCAUAUUCGUCAAUCCAAUACCAGAAAUCGCAUCCUCCAUCCUUUGGCUGGCAGAGAAUGUUGUUUGGUUUUCUAUCAGUUUGAACAGUCGAAUGAUUUUUGAUUUAGAUUUGGUUUGAACGUGAACUUAGAUUGUGAUUCAUUCACUUCAUGAAGUCGCACCCCUUGUUCAUCCAUGUGGUCGCUGUGAACCGCCGCACCCGUCGCAUCUUGCAGCUAGUGCACCUCAGCAGCAGCAGCGUCCUGGGAGCCAUCCACCGGCAGCUCCGGCAUCAAAUCGCCAUCCCCUUCAACGAUACUAGGAAUCAACCAAUCGAAAAUAGACCAGAUCAAAACGAGCCCUGUAAACCGCCACAAAGGAAUACAAAUCAAAAGAGAAACCAGAUCUGAGACGAUUGGACACCCCUAAACACCGACGGCCGCGUCAGCUCCUCCAGUGGAAACCACGACGAAGUUUCAAUCGUCGCCUCAACAGUCCGUCCACCCAGAUCAUCGCUUCGUUCUUCCCCGCCGCCGGGCAUGGCUUCGCCCACCGAUGUCAUCUCUUUUCUCUAUUCUCCUGUACCCACCUUCAGCCGUCAGUUUGCGUCCUUUUUCAGUCCAACCUAGUGAAAUACGGGCCAGCUAACUCAUUUGCCAUUGAUUCGGUAUGGUGGGACAUUUUUUAUCGGUACAGGUACUUCGAAAUGGCACAUGAACAACCAGUACCUAGUUUUGGACUGGCCCACAAUCCCAAACAAAUCCCUUGUGCCACCCCACAGCCCGAAUUUUUCAAACUUACCCAAGUCCAGAAACCUGGACGGUCCAGUAUUUUGACUAUUGUUUUAUACAUCAUACUGGGCCAACACCUGCGGGCUGCACUGCCACCAACCACCAAAGACAGCAAGCUGAUUGGUCCAAGUUACAGAGAGCCCUGGCUCCCAUGAGCCAAAAAUCCGCGUCCGUGUUCGUGUGUCUUCUAGUCAUCUAGAAUCCUCCGUUCUGCAGGCGAUUGGGGUCGGUGUGGUUCUCCUGUGUGGCCGGCUACUGGUUGCCGGUUGGUUGUCGCGCCGCUUCCGGUCGUUUGCUCUCGGCGGUGGUAGGGUUGCGUGGAGCUGGAGGCAGACGGGUUCGUCCUCCGCUUUCCAGCGGCCUCGGCAGCUUCGCCUCUUUUUCUUGUUCCGGUCGCUGGCUGCACGGCUCGAUCUGCUCUUCCUGUUUUGUGCCUGCGUCAGUGCGUCGCCUCCGCCGCGUAGGUUCCGGACGAUUGCUCGUCGCUGGUUGCUUGCAGCCUUGCGCCGCCGGAUUUGGGGAUUUGUUUCGCCCUCGCAAGGUAUUAUUUCUUCCGUGGUUGUUGCCCGUUCGAUUUUGAGUUGAGUUCUUUCUGUUCUCGUGGUUAAUCUUUCCUGUGGCUCACCGCCUGCUACUCCAUUGCUGGAUCUCCUAAGUUUUGAUUCGCCGGCGCUCUCCUGGAGGAGUGACGCAGGCACGCAAGCAUGUUGCUGCCGAUGAGGUCGCUCUACAAGAGCUCGAUCGCUUGCGGCGUCCAAGUUUGUCAGGCCGUGGACAGCGAGCCGGACGUGCAGAGGGAGGCCCAUGCCUGUUUGGUUGCUACAACUAGCUUCUCUGUGACCCCCCAAGACAAGCUCUUCUUCUACCUUCACUCGCCAUCAGUGAGUACUUUCCUAUUGCUCCCAUUGCUUUCUGAUUCCACCAUGUGCUUGAUUUUGUUGCCUUUUGUGGUUGCUGUGUGGAUUGCACAACACUACAGGUAGAACGCAGCCACGCCUGCUCCUCAGUAAAGGGUUCCUUGAUGGCUGCAACGACCAAAUUUGGCUACAGCCCUGUAUAUCAGGUAACAUGGGGCUUGUUCCAUGCUUAAAUCGUCUGUUGUUCUUGAUGAUUUUUGCUUUCUUGCCAUGCUUAAUUUGUCUGCUAUUACUGACUUAUUCUCUUAUGUGCCACGGUUGAUGCUUGAUUAAUCAAUCUGUGUUACGACAAGGUGGCGGUGACGGACCCAUGAUAAAUUUAAAGGUGUGGCGGAUUUUACACAACAAAAGAUCAUAUGCAAUACAACUAUGCAAAAGCUCACUAUAAUACUAAACAUAAAUUCUUUGUGUUUAACAAGUAUAGUAAAAUCCAAAAGUAAGAUAUUGGAGCUCAAAAUACCUCAAUAGAUGAAACUAACAUGGAUGACCGAUCACCAAUUUAUAAUCUAGUACUCUCUCUGUUCCAUAGUUCUUGUCGAAAUAUUACAUGUAUGUAGACGCAUUUUAGGAAUAGAUACAUCCAAUUUUGAACAAAUUUGAGACAAGAAUUAUAGAACGGAGGGAGUAUUAAUUAGAAAAACAUAUGAAUGAUCUGCAAAAGAUUGAAACCCUACAAAAAAAUAUAUGAAUUGGUAACUAUACUUUCAUAUGUUUGCUCUUUUUCUUUGCUCUUAAUGACAAGAUUUUCUGUGUGCACGGGCCUACACAACAGUAGAAUUACGGAAACUACGUCUCCAUCCGGGCAAUACCUAAAUCAUUUCCUUCUGUAAAUAACACAUAACAACUGCAUCGGAUCGACAAUUUUCCAUGGCGCAGCAAAGCGCGCUAGACCAUCUAGGAAGAUUGAAUUCAGCGGGUGGAUCAUUUGAUGGGUAGAUGUUUGGCGGAUUGGAAAGCCUAGGAGAAUACGAGCCCGUUUGGUUUGGCACUUGGCCUCCGUGCCUGAGCAAAAUCAAUGCCUGAACAUAGCCUGGAAGUCACGAUUUUUCUGCCUGGUCAGGCAUGCAGUGUGUACGUGUGCGAACAGUUUGGUUCCGAACCUGGCCUGAAGAAAGCUUAGUCUGACAGCAACACGUUUUGCAGAAGGCAACAGCUGGUUGGAGGGAGAUUAGUGGCCAGGCUGCUGCACAGGCACGUCCAGGUGACCGAUUCUCAGCGCCUGAGCCAGGCUAAGCAAGGUGCCGGACUGACGGAGGUCUCCAGGCCAGGCUGCUUGUUCUUCUCCAGGUUGGCAACCAAACACUGCUGAGGCAAUUCUUAGGAAGGCUUCCGGCCAGGCGCGAUGUAGCCAGGAUGCAAACCAAACAGAUGCUACAUCCCCAAUGGAAGGCCUAGGAGAAUACGGAGUACAUAAACUCUUGUGGGUGCGGUUGCAACCGUGUGGAGACGUUUGUAUAUGAGCGUGUACUCGUCUAGAAUAAGGGCAAAAAGCUGAUAACAGGGGAAUGUCAUUCCGUCCAAACAUGGCAUUUUCAGUGGGGUCUGGGCCGUGGUAGAUUACUAGGUCCAGUUGGGCGUGGAAAUUUAUUUCACUGAAACAGUAAAAAGGUGCACCGUGGUGACUUUCUAGGUUAACACGUCACCAAGUUUGGAGUGCUAUGGACCAAACGUUAUCAGGUUUGUUAGGUUAACUAAUGUGAAUGAUUGUUCGUUAGGCAACAAAGCCAUGUUCAAGUUUCGUGUCAAAAAAACAAAAGCUGUGUUCAAGUUCUUUUUUUUUAGAGGAAGCUGUGUUGAAGACUGGGACCAACCUUUGGUCCAACAUGUGCCAUCGGCAGGGAGAAAAUGCCCAUUGCAAACUUUGGUCCAACAUGUCCCAAUUAAUCCUCGCAAAUUCUUCUCUCUUAUGAAGGCUUUGUACGGCAGCAAAUUUUUGUUUUUGUUUUUUCUCAAAUAAAAUAUGACUUGAAGCAUAUUCUGUGUCGAUUUUAACUUUAUCAAAUUCACCGUCGCAUCAGUUCCUUGACGCGGGGCACAUGUUGGACCAGAUUGUACGAGGAAAGGAAAUCUUGGACCAAAGUUUCCGACAGAAAGAUGUUGGACCAAAGUUUCCGACGGAGACAAGAAUUAUGGAACGGAGAGAGUAGUUUGUAAAUAUAGUGGUGUGGUAAGGAGUACCAGAGAGAUCAUUUUACAUUGUUCUUUGUAGUUUAAAUUUGCUGCUGGUUUCACCAAGACAUUUGGCUUGUAUUCAAUACCAAGAGCACAUAUUUGGCUUGCUGAACUUUGUCUAAUUCUGCUGAAGUGCUGGUCAAUCAUUUUCUGCAGUUGAGUCCAUGUUUAUGUUCAUACAUUUUGACUCGUAGUAUGCUCUGCAACAUGAAAUCGUUCUCCUUGAACUUGGCAAAAAUACACACAAUAGACGUACAGUUAUACAAGAUUUCAGUUUCUUAAAUACAACAGAGCUUUCGUUUCUCCAUAAUCCUAAUGAUCAUCUCCUACAUCAAGCCCAGACACAAACCACAAGCCUUCACGUCCUUCAUGCGCGACUGCAAAAGCAAUCAAGAAGACAAGAGACAUCAAUCUUCCACCAAUAACUAAUUGAGCCAUUAACAACAGAGGAUGCAGAGCAAAGCAGCCAUGAAAUGAAAGCAGAGUUCAACCGACCGGGGACUGACUGACUAGCCAACCAUGAAAUGGAGAAAACAAAUUCCUAUUAGAACAGGGCUGAAAGUACAAGACGUGAACAUUGCAUCUGUUUACUACCACAAGCCACAACACAUGUCCUCUCCUCAAGCAGAACAAAAUUUGGGCAGAUGUAAUUGAUUUCCUAUAUAUCUUGGCUGACUACUUAAACAUUUAUACAAAUAUAUACACAAAGGAAAAACAAAAUUAAAUAUUAAAUAUAACUUCAUCUCAAAACAAAUGUAGCUCUGCUGCUUUCUAUAUAAGGAAGGACACAAGUACACAGCAAGAUUGAUAGCUGAAAAAGGUCAUGCUAAAUUCGCAGAAAUUAGCUAAGAUCCAUUGAAAUCCAUCAUAGAGAUUAAUGGGGCUAUUGCGCAAUUAAGAAUUUUGCUCCUUAUUUGAGCACGGGAUUGGGCAAAGAAAUCCUUUCAGUUCACCUGAUUAGCGCUCAUGAGAUACAAGUGAAAUACUGAGAGGCCACCAACGAACCAAACUGCAAUGAACAUGUAGAGAUAGACCAGGGGUCUUUGCCAUUGCCUUCCAUAUUGUUAUCUGCUCAGAGUUUCUGAUCUUAACAAUGUACACCCAACAGAAUCUGAAGACACAAGAGGCAGAGAAUAGUUGUUCAGACUUGAGAAUACAGACAUAUAAAAGAACCUGUAAUUCCACUGAACAAAUCAUACGCGUAAGCUGAUGAAAUCAACUCCAAAAGUAUCUUAAUUUUCCUGGAUUUGGUGUUACAUAAGAGGGGAGAAGAACACUACAGGAAGGAGCACUGGAUUUCUUCCGUUAAUUCCAGAUCCUUCUCCUCUGCUCUUUUCUUAUCCUUGUACAGUUUACAUUUUGGACCCUCUAAACCUUACUAAUCACAACUAACACCAACACUCCCCCUCAAGAUGGGGCAAACACAUCAUAUAGGCCCAUCUUGCUACAAAAUGUGGAGAACUUCUCUGGUAAACCUUUUGUAAAUAUAUCUGCUAUUUGACUAGAUGAUGUCACAUAUGGCAUGCAAAGAACUCCUCUGUCAAGAUUUUCUUUGAUGAAGUGACGAUCAACUUCAAUAUGUUUAGCUUGAUCGUGCUGUACCGGAUUGUUUGCAAUAUCAAUAGCUGCUUUACUACCACAGUAUAACAUCAAGGGUUUUUUCUUGUGCAAUUUCAACUCAGAUAGAAGAACCUGCAGCCACAAUGGCUCACAUAUACCAUGAGCCAUGGACCUGAACUCAGCUUCAGCAGUUGACCUGGCGACCACAUUUUGUUUUUUACUUCGCCAUGAGACUAAGUUUCCUCCCACAAAGGCACAAUAACCAAAUGUGGACCGCCGUCAUCAACGGAACCAGCCCAGUCUACAUCGGUAUAACACUCUAAUUGUAAAGUUGCAAGUCUCCUUGCUUGGUGUAAAGAAAAGUCCUCUCCCUGGGCAGCCUUUAAGAUACCGCAAUAUUCUAUUAACAGCAUCUAGAUGAGCAGUUCUUGGAUCGUGCAUGAAUUGCCUCACUACACUGACAGCAAAUGCAAUAUUUAGGACGUGUAUGGGAAAGAUAAAUUAACCUUCCCACAAGCCUUUGGUAGCGUUCUCUAUCAACCGGGGUUCCUGCAUCACUACUUAGCCUACGAUUUUGUUCAAUAGGUGUAGCAACAGGUUUUGAUCCAUACAUGCCAGUUUCUUUGAGCAGGUCAAUAAUAUAUUUUCUUUGAGAUAGAAAAAUACCUUUUGAAGCGCGUGAGACCUCUAUGCCAAGAAAGUAUCUCAAAUGUCCCAAAUCCUUCACUUCGAAUUCCUUUGCUAGAUAGUGCUUCAGAUCACCAAUUUCUUUAGUGUCAUCGCCUGUCAUUACAAUAUCAUCAACAUAGACUAUCAAGAUUGCAACUUUAUCAUUAGCAUGCUUAUAAAAUAAUGUAUGAUCAGCAUUGCUCUGUAGAUAGCCUCGGAAUCUGUCGAACCAAGCCCUCGGUGAUUGUUUCAGUCCAUAUAAAGAACGACGCAGGCGUAACACUUUUCUAGCAUUGUACUUAGAUUCAAAACCAGGUGGAACUGGCAUAUAUACUUCUUCUUGGAGGUCACCAUGGAUAAAUGCAUUUUUUACAUCCAUCUGGUAAAUGCUCCAAUCAAAAUUUGCAGCACAGGAUAUGAGAGUCCUCACGGAAUUCAUCUUUGCAACUGGUGCAAAGGUUUCUUCAUAAUCGAUACCAUAGGUCUGUGUGUACCCCUUUGCUACAAGGCGUGCUUUAUAUCGAUCUACUUUACCCUCUGGAUUGUGUUUAAUGGUAACAACCCAUUUACAUCCUAAAGGUUGCUUACCUGGCGGUAGAUCCACGAGCUCCCAAGUUUUAUUUUUUUCCAAGGCUCUCAUCUCAUCUAUCAUCGCUUCUUUCCGUUUUUUAUCCUCUAAAGCUACUCUCCAAGGUGGUAUCGAAGUAGAGUCUAGUGAGGCAAUGAAACUUUGGAAGGAUGGACUACAAUGCUUAUAGGAAAUAAAAUUGCAAUGUCAUAUCUAUGGCCAACAUAAUCUUUUAAGAUAUUCGGGAGUGUGUCGUGUUCUUGUUGAUUUCCUUAAGGCAAUAGGUGGGUUAUCACUAGAUGGUUGAUUAUCAAUCUGCUCUGCGGUGCUAAUAAGAGCUAUAGAACUAGGGAAAAUAAAAUUGGUACCUGGAUCCUCAUGCAUAGUAGACUCUGCCCUUUGAGAUGGAACUGAUGAAUCUGCUAUUGCAUCCUCAUUGUCUUCAUGAGAAGAAUCACCAUGUGAUUCCUCCCCCUGGAUUGAAAUAUUAUCAUUUGAAGUAUCAUUUGUAUCAAGAGUUAAUGAACCUUGUACACCACCUGAGGUGGGAACAAGAACAGGAUACUGAGAUCUUUCAUUUUCAUUCUCCCUCUCUUGUCCCACUUCAGGUGGUGAUAGAGCAAUACCAGUACUACUAGAUGACCCAUAAUAAGGUUCACAUUCCCUAAAGGUUGCAUCCAUGCUGAGAGAUGUUCAGGACACCAACAUCGAUAACCUUUUUGAGAAGAAGAAUAACCAUAAAAACACAUUUAAUGCACGAGGAUCUAAUUUGCUCUCUGAGUUUCGAUAAUCAUGCACAAAGCAAACACACCCAAAAACUUAAGAAGGAACAACAUAGUCAUUUGAAUCUAAUAAGCACUCAGCAGGAGUUUUAUGAUCAAGAACACGGAGAGGCAUACGAUUUAUAAGAUAUACUUCAGUUUUAAUAGCCUCAACCCACAAAAACUUGGGGACAUUCGUUGUAAACAUAAGUGAACGUGCAACUUCAAGUAAAUGUCUAUUUUUUCUCUCUGCCACUCCAUUUUAUUCUGGGUAUCAACACAAGUUGUUUGAUGUUCAAUACCAUUUGUUGCAAGAAAUUGACUAAAAUCUGUAUUAAUAUAUUCAGUACCAUUGUCUGAACGAAGUACUUUAAUAGUCGCUCCAUGCUGAUUUUUAAUGAGAGCACACAAAUAUUUAAAAAUAGAGAACACUUGACUCUUAUGCUUCAAAAGAUAAACCCAUGUAUAUCGGCUAAAACAGUCAAUAAAAGUAACAAACCAUCUGUGUCCAGAUAUGGAAUGGACCUCACAUGGUCCCCAAACAUCAGAGUGGAUCUAUUAUAUAUUAAAAGUACAUGACGAAGCAACCAGAAAAAAGAUAGACCUCUAGAAAAUCCCACAAAAAAGCAAAAUAUCUGGCCGUCUAAACACACAAUCAACGGAUUAGAUGCCUCCUAUUGGGGCUCCACACGUCGCACAUCUAAAAAACAGACAGACUGUUUCGUUCCAAGCGUUCAAGGAUCGAUCCCCGUCCCUCCCUAAAAAGAUAGAUUUAAGGAUGGAUCCACGUUACUCCCUGUAAAAUCAGUUUGACGAUGUAUUUUGCCGGAAAAAGAUCAAUCUCCAUCUCCUCUUCAUCCUUGCAUUGAGUGGCCUACGGAGAUACUCCAUCGUUACAGCUGGAUCUCGAUCUGGGUACCUGGGCAGAGCCGUCCAUGGCAUCGCCAAGGCACAAGGCUAGGACAACGCCAUCCUCCAGCGUGCACACGUGGAGCACGGGUGUUGCCGGUGACGCUCGCGUUCCGCUGAUGAUGCUUGCGAGCAGAGGCCGUACGGCCAGCCCCGACUACCAACCCCUCAUAACCAAAUAACCAAACCCAAUGUGCCGCCAUAGAAUUCCUUCCAUGUGAUUGCAGUUCGAUUUGAAAUUUUGCCUCUGAAAGGUCGGUAGUUGCUCCGAUCCAGUUCUCUUUCUGCAGGUGAGUGCAGUUCGAUUUGAAAUUUUCUCAUACCACAGAUAGGUUUGUAAGUUGCAAGAACUCUGCUGCUCCAAACAAUGUACUCCCUCUGUUCUACUUUGCACUAAAACCACGACAAGUAUUUAGGAACGGAGGGAGUAGUUGGCAAAACAAAUUGGUGCAAUUGGGUUUUUAACUGCGCAUAUAAUAAUUGGAUAUAACUAUUAAUAGAUAAACGAGAAAAGAUCAAUAACUCUCCCCUAAAGAAAUACUCCCUCCGUUCCAUAUUAAUUGGCACAGAUUUUUAGUACAAGUUUGUAUGGUGUUCACUAAUCAAAAAAAUUGUAAGGAGAAAGUCUUCGUUGUAGGAAAAAAAAACAACACGAGCCCAAUACAACAGGGGCACCAUCACGAUCGGAAAGCACAAGAUGAAAAAGUCAUAAACCGUGUGAGAGGGCUAGAUUUCUACCCGUCGGGGUCUAUGCUCAUUUUUUAAUCGGGUCAGCUAUAUUUUCCGUAUCAGCUGUGAUAACAUAAUAAUCUGAAUAGGAAGAAGUAGAGAGAUAACUUGGUUACUUUACAUGAUGGUUAUACGUUUGUGUGUUUUACGUACAUGAAAAUUGAUUAUGUACACAAAUAUAUAUACUGAGAACUUAUGGACUUCUAGAUAAUUUUGUAAAAAACACGGAAGUACGAUACUCAAGUGAAUUGGAACAUUUAUGAGCGUCAGCACAUCGAGAUGAAACUCAAGAAAUCCAUAGUCCAUACCUCUUAUUAGAUCGACCCCUUAUUAGGUGUAUAAAAAAAGAGUGAGAAAAAAUAUUUUUGGCUCCUCAAAUGGUAGCAAAGUCUAGAAAUGGUCACCGAACACAAAAUCGCAUACAUUUGGUUCUUCAAUUAGCAAAACAUGAUAAAAUUGGUCCUUCUCCCAGAUCUAAACGGUUUUGACUCCACAUGGCGUAGUUGAAGGGACUAAAAGUUUUUGGUUUUGUUAGCCAAGGGACCAAAUAUUUAUGAUUUGAAGUUGAAAGACCAUUUCUAAAUUUCGUUGCCAACUGAGAGACCUAACAUAUGCUUUUAUCUAUAAAAAUAAGAUUAUUCUUAGCUCUUACGGAUGAUGCCCUCGCAUUUGCAAGGGCCAUGAUGCUAGUUAUUUUUAAAGGUUCAUUACUUUUUAAACUAACAUAACACUAGGAUAUGAACCCCUAGUAUGCUUAGCAAGUUCACAAGCAUCACAUGGCAAGAACUCUCUAGCACAUGAUUUAAACAAAGUAGGGUAAAUACAAGACAAGACAGCAAACGAUAGGUGUCCUAGCCUGCAGUGAUGCAGCAACAACUCUUGGUGAGGAGACAAGUAGGAUGCAAGAGCAACUUCGUCACUUCCCUCAACAAGGUAGUAGAGUCCAUCAUGCACGGUAUCAGUCCCCAAAAGUCUCCCUGUCUUCAGCUCCUGAAAAGCACAGCAAGUAGGAUCAAACCAACCUCCACAGUUAAGGGAUUUUGUAAUUGAACUAACUGACAAAAGAUUAACUGGGAAUUUAGGAACAUGGAGGACAGGCGAUAAGGACAAUGUCGUAGAGCAUCUAAUGGAUCCGCGUCCUACAACAGGUGACAUGGAUCCACCAGCUACACGUACUUGUCCUUACCUGAACAUGGUAUAUAGGAAGUAAAUAAAUUUGAAGCUCCUGUCAUAUGGUUGGUUGCUCCUGCAUCUAUUAUCCAGGAGUUUGCUGGAGUAGAAGAGGUAUGGGCCUGAUGACAUUUCGUAACUUGACGAGAGGUGACAAGAAGACUAGAGUUAUCUUUAGAGGAGUUAUGGAUUGAAGACAAGUCUUCAGAGAGUUUGAGCUUGGAUUGAAACUCCUCAAGAACUCAUAAAUCUACCACCGGUUGCUCCCGUAUGGAUGUAGUGUGGUUGGCUUGCUUCCUGUUAGCUUCGUGAGCUCCCCCUGGCUGAGGCCUUCCUUUGUCCCACCAUGAAGGGAAACCAUGCAAGUCAAAUCACAUAUCCUUGGUGUGUCCACUCUUCUUGCAGUGGUCACAAUAGAGUUUACUCUUAUCCAGUCUUCUAUAAGGUCUUGAUGCAUGCCGUGAUUGCAUUGACAGGGCUGCACGAUCAUCUGCAACUUUUAAAUCAUCCUCCUUAGGCUGAGCCAACCGUGUUUCUUCUUCAAUUACACUCGAGAUAAUAUCAUCUAGACUGGGCCACUCCGGCUGAGAAAAUAUAAUCUGUCUCCGAAGGUUAAAUUCCCCAUUUAAACCAUCAAGGAACAAUUUGGCUACAAGUGACUCAAACCAUUUGUGGUGAAUAGUCAUAUCAUUCUUAUCAAUAGGCUGGAAUGGAUGAUAGUAAUGUAAAUCUCUGUAUAACCGUUUCAGUCUCCAACAUACUCUGUUAUUGUCUUUGUGCCUUGCUUCAAGGCACCGUAUCCUGCGCAUCCGGGAACUCUGUAUCCGUGCAUCCAUCUUUCCUCCAUCCUCUGAUGUAAAUCGUACGGACGACGUCAAAACGCUGACUAUUUUGCACAUACACGCCCGCACAAACAGCUAAGUUACUUCCUUUUGCAAUUAAAUCCCUAGGAACGCUUAUGCCCAGUCAUUGAUGAAUUGAACAGAUCGAUUCAAUACCAGACCUGCAGACAGCGCGCCUUGAAUUAGAUUGACGCACCAAUGAAAUCGCUCUCCUAAAACCAUGCAUGUUUGAGGUAAACGGGGGAUUCAUCUCAACUUCCGCGCUUCCAUGAAUUAAAGGAGUGAAUCUCGCAGGUUGAAAGCUCUUCACUGGAGAGAGUCAGAAAGUUACGAGUCUUCUUCAGAGCAUUGGGUGAAUAACUGAAUGGUGAUUACUAGUUUGCCACCGGCUAUUGUGUUGUGUAGCCGCUGGCCGCUGCCGCCCGCCGCUGUGUUGGUCGUCCGUCGGCGUGUUUCCCAUCCCAUGGCAGAGAGGCCGGAUCAGGGAUGCAUCCACGGACCGGCUGACUCGCAGAUCGGGGAACAUUACGAGUCGGCGACGCUCAGGCUUUUUCUAGUGCAGACUUGAACUUUGUUGGGCGUCUAGAUGCAAAAUAUCCUAAUUAGAAUGCCGUGCCUGCGAUCGGAUCGGAUGGCUGGGAAUCGACGGAUGCACGGAUACACACGGCCACCCGGAUGCACAGGAUAUGUUGCCUUGCUUCAAAUGGGUAAGCUCCUCCAUGAUACGAGUGGCCUGUAUUUUAUUUGACUUCCCAGCAAACUGCAUUUCCAAGGCUGUCCACAAUUCAGAUACAGUAGACAUGAUCUCAACCUGCUGCCAAACCAUUGGAUCCAUACUUCCCAACAGCCACAACAAUACCCGAUUAUUUGUCUGCUUUGCAGCAAUGUCUCCCAUCAUGUGUUCCUUCUUCACCAACAAGCAGAUUAUCAUAACCAUGAGAGCUCAAAAUCAGCUGAGCAUGGCGUGCCCAGAUAACAUAAUUACUUGGGGCCUGACAACUUCACUGGAUUGGGUUCCAGUGUGUAUUUCACUCUUUCAGAAAUUGCCUUCGAUUGCUGCUGCUGUUCCAUCAUCUUACAUAAAAGUUCAUAUAACUUGUCAACACUAGAGCCCCCUAUUUUCUCUUUACUUGGAUCCAUAUUGCAACCAAGGCUCACAAGUUUAGACAAGUACUAGUAUUCACAGCAAGUACUGACACGGUUUGUUCUCAAAUGCACACAGGCAACACUAGCAAAUUAUGAAUUCUUUAAUCCGGCCACUGAGCAACAGGGAUGCUAAUUCUUAAUCUCACGUAGAGCAGCAACAAAUAGCAAUACGACAAGUGCCUUCUUCAACUGACAGCGACACAAUAGCAAACAAAGAUCGCUUUGAUAUGGACUGCAGUUGUAGGUACCUGGGACAAGAACAACAGCGACUUGGGGAUGAACACAGCUUCGUCGCACACUCCUUGCGACCAAUCGACGGUGGCACCGCAGAAACGGCGUCCGAGCGGACCUUGGCAAGAUCACACAGGAUCUGCACUCAAUCGAGGCUCCACCACCGACUGAGACAAAACCGGCCGUGACCUCCACAAACAGUUGACACAGCACCUCGGCGACCAGUUCUUGCUCAAAAACGCGAGGAGAAUACACAAGUAUCGUCCCGCUCUGAUGCCAUGAUGAAAUCAACUCCAAAAGUAUUUUAAUUUUCCUGGAUUUGGUGUUACAUAAGAGGGGAGAAGAACACUACAGGAAGGAGCACUGGAUUUCUUCCGUUUUAUUCCAGAUCCUUCUCCUCUGCUCUUUUCUUAUCCUUACAUUUGGACCCUCUAACCUUACUAAUCACAACUAACACCAACAUAAGCACUUUAAAGCAUUUCAAAAUCUAUCAGUUAAAUAGAAUUGGGCAUGUUUGAACACGAGAAAUGCUCUAAGCAUAAGCAACUGCAUCAAGCUAACACGCAUAUGCAUAUAGUACAUUGAGAGAUGAAAUAUGGCAAAAACAUAAAUAGAAAAAGGUUACACAAGAUCUCAUCGAAAAAUCCUUAGAACAAAUCAUGAACAUAACAUGCAUAGAAGUCAAACUAUGUAAGAAAGUAGGACAUGCUGCUACUCAUGCAUGUGCGUGUUUUCAGUUAAUGAUCUCACAAGUCCUAUGCAUUGCCUACCCAUGGGCAGGGAUGGUCAAAACAUAUAAAAGAACCUGUAAUUCCACUGAACAAAUCAAAGGAAUCCUUUCAGUUCACCUGAUUAGCAUGCAGGUAUCACAGUAUUUUGUCUUUGUAGCAGUUCCAUUGACAACAUCUUUAAUUCAGGGCAAACGCAACAGUGGAGUCUGGUAAGCUCCAACUUCAGCAUUGCCUUCAAAACCUUCAGGUUCUGGAUGUGCAUUCCAGGGUAUGGUACCUGGAUCCCUCCCAGAAGUGAGAAGUAGAAGAGACUAAGAAUCAAUGAAAUGCCUAAAGCAGUAAGUGAGGAGAUAUUACAGAUCAAAAUAUAUACACUUUUCUUUUACCAGCACUACCACAAACAAAAACAACGUUGUGUGUGUAUCCAGUUUGCAAGAUAUCAGGAAUAGACGCACCAAAAUAUAGUAGUUCUAGUAGCUAGCAGGUUCGACGGUGCAGCAAGUUGAAUGGUCCUCUUCUUUGAUACCAAACUCAAUUGCAGUUAUAAAAUCAAGAUCAAUUGGUCAAUAAACACAUAAUGCAUGAUAAAGAAAGGUGCCAGAGUUUAGUAUAGCAAAUAUUAGUUCAUAUCUAUAUUAUCUGGAACACAUUGGCUAAUUAAUGAACCAUUCAUAACCAAGGCUAAUGUAAGAGUCUGUACUCCCACUCAUAUGUUUCUAACAUUCUACUGUAUGGAUAUAAGAUCACAAAAAAAGGCCAGAAAUAGAUUUUGAACUUGAAAAAUUGCAGGCUGCAGCUAAAUAAGGUUCCUCCUACAGGCUGCAGCAUCUCUUCUCUUCAUCUGUCUUCUUCCGGGAGAUCCAAUGACAUACCCGUUUCCUCAUUAUACUCUCUGCACGCCCCUCUCGUUUGAGACAGUCACGCAGGAAGACACCUCUGUUGGGAUAAUAGGAGGAAGGUGGGCUGCUAGAGUGAGCUGAGGCACAAUUAUUGGUAUGUUUUGGAAUGUGUCGGGAUUUUCUAUUCUUUUUCGUAAAGAAGAAACAAGAACCAAAGAACACACUAUCAAUAUGUACAAAGGCCGUAUUAGAGUUGUGCAAGUAUCUGGUGUAUGUCAGGGGCCGGAUCCAGGAUUUGAACUUGAGGGGGGCGAAAAAAAGGAUCUCGCAAAAAUUACUAAAUUACUAAUAUAGCAUUGAUCUUAAACCAUAUGUGUCUUUGUAUGCGAUAUAGCAGUUCAAAUUAUUGACAACUACCAAGCUCUUCCAACAAAUCAAAAAUAUCAUUGGAGACAUAAAAAAAUAAACACAAUUGAUUGCUCAAUUAUCUCAUAUGCAAUUGUAUUAGUUAACCUAUUUUACAUGUUGUACUAAUUUACAAAAGAAGUACUACCUAAAUCAAACAAUAACCUACAAUAUUAGUCGACAAAAGAAGUAUCAACUAGACAACUAGUGCCCGAUCAUAUCUGAGAAGCAAUCUUUAGAAUUGAGGAGUUGAUUUUCUAAAAAAAAAGAAAGUAUUGAAGGCUUGAUUAGAUAAAAAUACAUACCCUCGUCUGGUCAGAAAUAAAUACAUAAGAUUAGUUGUAUUAUGUACGGUUAUGCAAGAAAAAAAAUACAGAUCUGAUGAGUGAUUUGAAAAUUGAAUGAUGAAUUGGUGAUCUAAUCUUCUAAAGAAUUAAAGAAAUGAGUUACCUGAGCUUUGCAGCAGGAUUGCGCCGUCGUCCGAUGACUCGACGAGACAACAAACAAGAUUUAAUAAUAGCAACUACCUGGCGCCUGGAAGCUGCAGCUUUGCAGAUGGCGAUCUGGAGUAAUAAUGAACGGAGGAAGAUGCUAGACGAAGGGCGACGAAAGCAGAAGUUGAACCAUCGCCUAGGCUGCCGAGCAGCGCACGCAGCCAACUAUUCCCUCUGUCCCUAAUUAAUUGGCGCCGGCCUUUUUGCAAAGAAAUCCUUGUGAAUUUCCGAAAUAAAUCUGCAGUCUACAUCUUCAAUUAAACGUGGACUGCGCGUUAAUUUCGAAAAUUUACAGGGUUUUUUUCGCAAAAGAUCCAAUAGAACGUGGACUGCAGGUUUAUUUUGAGAAUUUACAGGGAUUUCUUUGCAAAAAAGCCGGCACCAUUAAUUAGGAACGGAGGGAGUACUGAUGGGCUUUCUUUCUUUUCUUGGGCCCUUUCCUCGUUACAUCUAUAUCCUGCGUCAUUAGCACCUGAUCUAUAUCUCUACGGACUGAAAAUCCAUAGGGGGGGUGAACCAUUAGGGGGGGGGGGGGGGGGGGGUCUGACCCCUGCUCGCUCCCCCCUAGCUGCGCCGUCAGGGUACUGCUGGUACAGCAAGUCUUAAGGAGCAUCAGUACUUCAUGGAUGGGGUACAAGCUUUGCUAGGCUACAAUUUCAUGCACUACUACCACCUUUCAGAAGGACAGUAACCCUUGAGUCCUUGCUUAGGAUGCCAGAUAUUGCUUGUACACCCACAUGCCUAAAUUGCAUCAUGACAUUAAUAUGGUCCAUAUAGAUGGCUCAACAUGUAGGACAAGUAGAAAAGGUAGAUAGCAGAGAUAUUUUGAAGCUUUGAAUUAAACAUUACAUGGCAUAAACAGAUGGAAGUUUAAUAAAUGUUGUCUAGUUCUUUCUACUGGUUCGCUUACUUUUAACAUCAUUGACCAAUUUCACUUGGCAGGCUUGUUUUUUAUUCAAAGUUAGUAAAAUCCUUUCUGUGAUAAGUAUAAAUUUUAUUAUUUAUAUCCCUAGACACUCAAUUAACCUCUUACCGAACAUCUGUAGUUAUCAGAUAUUAAGAAACUAUAGCCAAUAUUGGUUCAUUGAUCCACAAUGGUUUUAAAAAUAUGAGCAAAAGAUGAUUAUAUAGCAUAAUUUGCAGACUUGCAGUUCAAACUUAUUUUGACUAUAAGUGAGAGACUUGCAGUUCAGGAUUUGAAUACUUGAAUAUUUGCAGCAUUGUAGUACGGACAGAGGUGGCUACUUACAUGCUGAAACAACAAAAGGAGCUGGGAGAAGAAAUCACCAGCUUUCUUGUAAUUUGUCACACUAUUAUAUUCUUAUGCCAAUCUAACAUAAGUCUUGAAAUAGGAGAAAUCUUUGUGUUUAGUCUAAAUAUUGGCACAUUGUGCGAAUUGGGAGCGAUGCAUGGAUGGAACUGACUCCAAGAGGUAUACCAUGCUACGAAAAGGAUAGGUAAACAUCAAACCACUUUAGGCCCAAACGCACUAAAUUCUUUGAAGCUAAGCAUGAAGCAUUACAGGAAGUCUAACAUCAAGAGAAGCUAUUGUAUAAGCAUAAAAAGCAACACUAUGGGAUAUCUUGCAGUGUAGCAAUAGAAAGCAGAUAUCAAACAUGAUAAUACAAGGAACAAGGAAUAAAAGAAUUCACCUCGGUUUGUACAUGCCGCAGAUCAGAAACACAUAUGGACAGCAACAUAUUCAGAAGCAGUGACGGUAAUCAAAUGUUUAAGCAUGAAAACAAACAUAAGCUUCCAUUCAUGGAUUUUUGUUGAGUACUGAUUUGCUUCUCUGUUGAAGCAUGCAUGCUUCUUUCCAACGGAAAAAGUACACUAUAAGCAUUGAUAAAAGGAAAGGAGCAGCUAAUCAAAUAAACACCAUGAAAGUUAACUAUGCUCUAUUGAGUGACAAUUUAGCUUGAUGCAUUCUAUAAUAAUAGAGGAAUGGACAACUAAACUAUAGGAAAGAUUUUUAAGUUAACAUUCAAGGAGCAGCAGUCUAGCCAGAUGGUUAUAAAUAAGGCAGGAAGCAGGAUGACAAAGGAUACCAAAAAAAACAGUACAAAAAUUCUCAUAACCGCAUAGAAAUAUCUAGAUCUGAAGUGAUGCAACUGCCAUUGUUUACUCCCCAGAUGCGCUUCAGAAUCUGAAAUAAAAAAGUCCAUACAAAAUUCUUGAAAGCUAUGAAGGUGCAUCAGUGCCUGCACCAGCAAAUUGGCUACGGCCAAUAUAUGAGCACCAAGGAAAAUAUGCAUAGACCUAGAAAGCAAAACCUAAAUCCAAACCAAUCUUUUGACCACGGAUAAUAUUAAUAUUGACCAGGGAUUUCGAAUCUAAUUGAUUCGUCACACCUAAAUUAGAGCAGCACGAACACUAUAGCUGUCCUAAAACAACUAUAUCAGUAAAAAGCAAUCUGUUUAAGUGUGAUGAAAUCAGAGCCACGAAAAACACAUUUGUAGUAAGCAACCUCAACAUGUUGUAGAUAAAAAUGCCCACAAAAUCUUUUACUAUUAAGUACUAAUCUUAAUUUCCUUACAUUUUUACUUUUUCUUUGAGGGAAUUUCUCUACAUUUUUACUGCCUUACGCACAGCUCUUCAUGUCUAUUUUUGAGCAUAUCACGCAGCAACCCACAGGGUGUGAUCUACUUUUCAAAAUAUUGCUAACUGACUGGUGGUUAGUUGACAUGAUUCACAGCGGCCAACUUGUCAUAACCAUCCAGCUUACAUUACCUUCAAAACAGGUCUUGUUGGCUUCUUAAAGCUCAUGAAUUCAUCAGUGUCCACGGUCCACCGGACCAUCUUGAGAAAAUCCAUGUGAUCUGAAUGAUAGCUUGCCAAUCUGUCCAGUGAGAGAACACAACACGUAGGAACCAGGCUUUUGUGGAGAAAUGGCGAAGGUGGUAAUAUUUCUACCUGGUACAAGAACACAUGCAUCUGAACUCUUUAUUGCCUGCAUGACAUGGCAUCAUUAAUCGAUUACGUGACAGCAAAGAACUGAUGCAAUAUACUUCGCAGUGAUGAAUCUGAAUUUGAAUUGGAAACACUAGUAUAUCAGACUUUAUAACAAGUACACAUUGCACAGGGGAAAAAAAAGCAAUUGGUAAUGUAAUAGAUUAACUGUACCUUAAGACCUUCAUCCACACUAGGAAGCUGACACACUUAAACUGAGAGACUCGAGCGUGAUGUCAUCUGGGAAGCCACUCCAAACUCUACAGAUAAUGUACCAGGAUCCCCAUCACAUAAUUCUAGAGGUGGAGCAGGAUUUCCAGCAAAAGUAAUUAGUGACAAAACAUCAAGGGGCACAAGAUGCUUCAUUUCGCUACGAGCAAGCUGAACAACCUCUGAUUGGAAAGCUUGCCACUCUUUAGACAAAAACAAGUUACUCUCUUUAGAGAAAGUAACUUUACACAGGAAGCCAGAUAACCAGCUUAAUCAUUAAAAUCUUCAGGCAUUCCUCAAGAUCAGGAAGAGCAUCUGCCAACAGCUCUUCCCAGCCUUCUGCGGAAAAAGAGCACAAACUUUCUUGUACGAUUUUGCAGCCAAACCAUAACUUCCAUGAUUAAAAAUAUAGCUGCAAUCUCUCCAUCAAGAACUCCAUGCCUUUUCCACCAAGAGCGGUGCUAAUUGUCAGCUUCACCGUUAGUAAGCUCCUAUAUAUAUUCUGGUGACAGAAAAAUAAUUGCUGUUGCAGUUUAUUUAUCUAUUGCUUGGGAAAUUAUAUAAAUAAAAUAGCAUUCAAUCAAAUGUCUCUAAAAUUAAUUAGUUAGACAAAACAAUGAAAAAUUAAACUAUCUGAUACGUGAAGGAAAAAAAACAGCAGCAGCAUAAAUAUACACACUGCCGCAAAAAAUCAGCAGCAAAAAAGUAAAGAAAAUUUAAGGUCAUUCGAAAACAUAUAAGGAACAUUUAAAAAAAUUAAUGGGACAGUAAAAUGAUUUUAUUAUGAUGAGCAUGGUUGAAUAAAUACAGUACCUCAAAUUCUUCUGGUGAUGAAAGUGAUGCCAUAAAAUCAGGAUUAGAUAUCAUCUGUUUAAUGCAUGCUCAGCUGCAACAUAUAUUUCUGACAAUCUCAUGGGCCGAUGGACUGAAAGAGAAGUCUCCGAGGUUGCUGGUCCGGACAUAGUUAUUAUCAAUUAUCAUAAGUUAGAAGAAGAUUUGUUGGAAGGAAGUUUAGAAUGUGCAUCUAAACCUGAACUGCCCAGAUAAAAAUAAACACAAAUAUAUAAAUAAAACAAUCCAUUACACAGUAAUUCACCCCAAUAUAAAUGCAUUACUAAGUGGGAGAAAUGGCAGCCCUUACCCAUCAACUGAAUCAUAUAAUUCAGACCUUUUUCCAAUAGAAACAAAAGCUCUAUGCCUGUUAGCCUCACGCCCUCACGUAGAAACAAAAGGUUCUAGUCACAGUGGUUUCCUCUGAAUGCUGAAGAGCUUUUCUGUUGGUUUUGCUCGAGGAGUUAUCUGCAUCAGGAAAAGGUUUUCCAACUUUGGGCUACAAUUAGUAUGCAAUGAGCAGUCAAAUAGUACAAGCAAUCCAAAUCCGAUCGUCUCGGUCCGGAAACGAACGCGACAGAGAUCGCGUUCGAUCUGAGCAUCAAUGGAUUUGGGCAGCACAGGGCGGCAGUAUCUCGAGUCAGCGUGGACGCACCUGGUAGAGGACGCGGCGGCGGAGGGCGAGUUCCCGGACACCGCGUCGAGCGCCGCUGCAAAGCCACCAUUGUUGCCAGCUCCGCUCCAGCAGGUGGAGGCAGAGCUGAGCCACGGGGUGGCGAUGUUGGGGUCAUCCUGGUCGCCCUGCUGGUGGAGCCGAGAAGCAGGGGUUGGCGGCAGCGGAGCAGCGAAGACGACCUUACUACUGCCGCCUCUGCCUGCAACACUAAACCUCCAGUUUAUUGGUUUAUUACAUGGUUUGGGUCAGCACCUCGAUCAAAGGUUUAUAAGACAUAACUAGAAAGGAAUUUAUCUAGACGACAACACACACAUAACAAUGAACAACACUGAUCAUUGCAUAUAUUACCAUGUUAAGCUUCAUUGGAAUUGUUUGUAUCAUCCUAUAUAUUUCUGGCAAUCACCCGACAUGGCCACGAAGAUCGAUCAUACAACCAUAGUGCUCAAUCUUGGGUGUUAUUCUAGACUAGCAGGUGUGCCCGUGCAUUGCUACGGAACCCGGUGGCUGGAAUCAGCUGCAAGGGGGUGCGCAGGUGGUUGGCAAAGGCUGGGAAGGUCGGGACGCUUAGGGCGCUGGGGGAUGCGGUCAUGCGGCUGCACCGGGUUGCGAGGUCUAGUGAGGAGUUGACGCGGCGGGCAGAAUGGAGCAAGCAGCUCAUGGCGCCGUCAAGGUCGGCCGUCUCCCACGAGUCCGGCAGUUGGCGGCGGUGGAGGUGGUGGGAGAACAGGUGAAGCGGACGGCGACGUGACGGCUUUGCUUGGAGUGUUGUGGCGUCGGUUGGCAUCGGUUGUAAGACGAAGGAGGAGAAAUCGGGCUGGGGGUGGAGGGGGAGGCUCGGGCAUGGGCUCACGGAGGAAUCGUGAAUAAGACGGGAAGGAAAGAAGAUAACGGGAAGUGGCAUAUUUGUUGUAAUUUUAACAAAGUUGACCUACCACGUCCGUGCCAAUCACCACCAACUCCAAUUUAAUAGAUAGUAAUAGACUAGACCUUAAGACGGCCCCUCAUUGAGCAAACAAGGUACUCCUAUUCACCCCAAUUCCAUGAAGGCUCCAACUCAUCAACAUUGUACGUAUCAGAUUUCAAACGGAAAGUAUCACAUAACAUCCCCGAACCGAGCAGAGAACUACUCACCAGUGACGAGAUCGGCCGUCGAGGGAUGUGCGGCGGCCGCCGCGUCACGGAGGCGGAGGAGCGGGAGCACGGAGACGCCGACCAGAAGAACCACUCUGCUCCGCGUGGCUGCUCACGCCGACAAGCGAGCGCCAUCGUGCGAAGCAGAGGCGGUGACGGCCCCUCGUGGCGAGCGGGAAAAGAGGGCGAGGCGCGGGGGUGGCGGCUGCGCCGGCGGCGAGACGACGAUGAGGUGGUGGUAACCCAUGCCCGUCGCCUGGCUAAUCUACGAGCCCUAGAACCCACCCUAGGCGACUGCACUACAGUACGACACUUUAAUAUAUUGGUAUAGAUUAAAAAAUCUCAAUCGCCGACCACAUAUUACCAUACGCCGUGGUAUUGAAGUUAAUUUUUCGCAUGCAGUGGGCUCAAAGCCUCAAAGUAAUACUAGCAGGUGUGCCCGCGCGUUGCUACGGGUCAACAAAAUCACAAAUUAUUUAAUUUUAUUUUCUGUGUAGGCAACUCAUGGCGCCGUCGAGGUCGGGAUGCGGGUGUGGUGGCUUCGGUUGUAAGACGAGUAGGAGAAAUCGUGAAAAAACUGGAGGAAAAGAAAAUAACGGGCAGUGGCAUAUUGGUUGCAAUUUUAAUGAAGUUAACCUACGGCGCCCGUGGCAAUCACCACAAACUCCAAUUUAAUACUCCCUCCGUUCCAUAUUAUAAGGCACACACGCAUUUCAAGAUUUUGUUUUGACCACCAAUUAGACCAACAAAAUGUGAAUUAUGUAUUAUAAAAAUUAUACCGUCGGAAACUUCUUUCAGAUAUGAAUCUAGUGGUAUAAUUUUUAUAACACAUAAUUCACAUUUUGUUAGUCUAAUUGAUGGUCAAAGUUGGACCUCGAAAUGCGUGGGCGCCUUAUAUUAUGAAACGGAGGGAGUAGAUAGUAAUAGAGGGCCGGUGGAGCGCGUGAAGAGGCGGUGGGCAAACCAGCCCCGAGAGAGAGGGGAGAUCUAGAUGGUUCGAGGCCUCGAGCCUUCCACAGAAGACGGGAAAGUGAGAACCAACAGCAGAGACAAUGCCAACACAUAGCAGCAAACCCAGCGAGCAAAUCAACCCAGGAACCUGCCCGCCUCCACCAUCGCCAACCCCGCCGCCGAACAGAAAAAGGAAAGAGGCGAUCAGGCGACGCACCUGAGACCCAGGCAGAGAAAACGCGGAAGAAAACCAGACCCCGCCACCGAACAGAAAGAAGAAAGAGGCGACUCGCAGCCUCGCAGAGGCAACAGAGCCUUCUGGAAGGCACCCGAAGGCCCAGAAGCAGCAACACCAGAAAUCAAACGGGUCGGCCCCCACCGAAAAAGAAAACGCUGGGCAAGCCCACGAAAUCAAGAGCACGCAGCGCAAGGAAAGAACCAACCCGAUCGAUGACGUUGACGCAGCCAUCGAACGAGAAUUCUCCACCCUUUCAUAGGAGGAGUGAUAUUGAAAAUGCUUCAAGAAUCUCUAGUAAUUAACUCGGGUAGCAAUGCAAAAUUUAGUGGUAGAAAUGAUAACCAGGAACAGAGAUCAGUGCUGCCCAGCAAGUUUUGUGCAUACAAGCACAACAGAACCAGAACGUGACGUUCAGGAUUCGCCUCUUUCUAGAACAGCUCGAUCAAGUUUCCUCAUUUUUACUCUACUGUUCUAUAUAAAAUGCUGCCUACAUGAACAAAGGAAACCGAAGAAGCGCUAUUUCAUGAAUCAAGCACAUACAUAAACAAACAAGAAGAUGAAGUGAGAAUUGGCAUUGAAAAUUAACUAACCUGACCAGCAGCCAUUAGAAAUGCUGAGAUUCUUGGGAUCGAUAUACCAAAUGUUGUUUUGAAAAUUCCCUGGACAAUCAGAAUCCGGAAAGACCACAGCAACCAGUACCUGCAUAUAUGGAUAGGGAGAUAACAUCAAUUGGCAAGAAGGGUUCUAUUGGGGAAAAGGGAGGGGGUGAGGGAGGACAUUAACCUAAGGAAGAACCAUAAAUGCUGCGUGCUGUUGCCGAAGGAAGUAGCAAGAAAAUGCCAAACAUAAAAGGAAUGAGAUAUAGUCACUAUUUAUCACAUAACCAGGCAGUGUUGUUUGUGUACAAGUAUAUAUUCCAAGUCAUAUAAUCACUUUUUGUGACGGUGUGGGAGCAAAACAAGUAAUGCAAUGGACACGAACGAUGUAACAGAAACAUGUUCAUGGACCCUGCUAUCACAAGUGUAACAUCACCUAUUUGAGCACAAGAGCAUGGAAAUAAAAGAUAGAACAAAUAACUCAUUGUAUUAUCAAAAACUAAUACCAUGGCCGUCGUCAAUGAAUCGCCUAUUUCAGUAUGAGCAUGAAAUAAAAAAAAUAGAACAGACCACUCAUUCUAUUAUCAAAAACUAAUACCACAGUUGUCGGCUAUUAAUUUCAAAAUGUUGCUCUGUUAACAUACGAUGUUCUUGCUUCUUAGCCUUUCAGAACAACUUUUUUGAAAUGAGCACACCAGGGCCAUUUCUAAUUUCAACAUUUACAUAUCAAGAUCAAAGUAAUAAAUAAACCUAUCUCAAAUAUCAAAAGCACUCUUCAUGAUGAACUCCAAUGUCUACAAGAAACAUAAGGAAUUCAUAAAAAAAUUCUAAUUCAUAAUAAAUAAUUCUAGAAGGGGGUAAGCAAUGAUCGUAAUUUGUGAAAGAGAUGUACAAUGAUAAACUGGGGUGAAAAUCUAAGAAAAAAUAUAAUAGCUUCAUAAGACAAUUGAUGUGCAUGCCGCUACACAAGUUAAAAAACAAUAUUGAUUGUACUAAAAGAUUUAUUGUCCAGCUUGACCAAUCACCAAGUUCAAACCAAUUGCAUCUAGCUUGUGCAUAUUACCUGUUCAUAAUAUAUCCAUACUCUAAUUAACAAAAUAAAUUAUUUUCUGAGAUAAACAUCCUCUUAAAUCCUAACCAGGGAAGAUAUGGCUCAACCAUUUUUGUGGUAGUAACUUAAGAGUCCCAAGAAGUAGCACAUAGUUAUUGUUAGGAAUUUAAGUCUUGAGAGUCCUAAGAAACACACUGAUUCAUUAGCAAUUAGCACAAUAAGAAUACCAUUUUGCAUCGACUCACACAGACUGAUGUGUAAAAUCGCUACAUUGCAUUUGGUUCACGAGAAUGGGCUUAAUCCGGGUUUUCUUUUAAGAAAGAUUAGUUUGCUCUUUCGGCAUAUCCUUCAAUACAAAUGGCUAAAUUGCUAACAUCUUAAGGAUUUUCUUACUUUGUUCAGAAGAGUUUUGAUUAAAAGGCAUGACACAAAUUUCUAGUUGAGUCAUUUGCAGUAACAAUUUGGAACCUCCGGGCACAAAAUAAUCCUAAUAACUUAUCAAGUCUCUGAAGGAAAAUGAAGCUAGACAAAGUAUUUACCCAUAUUACUUAAGGUAGAGUUAAGGCAUCUCAAAAUCUCACUCUUAGCGAGGCAUUGCAACAAAGAUGUUAUGGGCAGGUGUAUCAAUUAGCUAGGCAUUGCAACAAACAUGUUGUGGGCAGGUGUGUCGCACAUAUAUGCCAUGCACUGGACUGGUGCUGCCAAUCUCCACCCAGGCUUACUCCUUUUUAAUGGGAUCAGAAGACACCUAAUAAAAGCAAAGGCAUACACAUACCUUGAAGAAUGAAACUAAUCCUUAAUUAACAAGUCAAGUCCUAAUGAUCCAAACAUACAUCAGAAAUAAAGGGGAUGACAUGAAGAGAUGGAAAGCUGGACAAAUCGGCAUGGCCUUGCACAGCAGCCAGAACAAAUCAUGAGCGUUCAGAGACCUCACGCAGCAACCUGAAGUCCAAGGCACCAAAACCAAGUAAUUAAAUCUCCCACAGAGCCUACAACUGAAUAGGCUAUGAUUAAUAGGUUGCAGAAGGAAAAGGCUGCAAUGCACAUGGAGGGAGUGCAGUAUCUCUGGAUGAUUGAAGAGCAGGCUGAUCAUUACGAAGAAGCAAAUUCUUUCUAGAAGUGGACCCAGAAGCAAUUGAAAAGAUAAAUGGCUUGCUUACAGAGAGAAAUAAAUACUUGAUCGUUCUAACUUUAUUUGCAUGUCCCAGUUGCACUUCUCACUGAUGGUGCUGAUAAGUUUUAAAAUGACCUUUUCUAACCUUUAUCAGAUCCAUUGGCACUGUCAUUUGUGUGCAAACAGACAUGUCAUAGAAGUGCAUAAAUAAAAGAAAAUCAUGCAAACCACGCCCUAAUGUGCAAAUAAGUCUGACUUCAGUGGCUUGUGUCUUCAUAUUAGAAAGGUGCAUACCAUGAAAACCUCAGAUUGAUUUUUCUUAUUCAAGUUAAAGAAAUAUACUUGACUUCAAAUCACUUACAUUAAAGGAACUAUCAGUAGUGCACAUAGUGUGUGCUAGCACGUGACUACUUUUCCAUUGGACCCAAAAACAAAUUACUUGGCAGAUUACAUGUACUGGAUAAAGGACAAGCAAUUGAAUAUAUGGUCAAGCUACUAUUAACAUCCAAAUAAAAAAUUAGCUAGUUUGUCUAUCGUUAAGCAAGAGACUGAGGUAACCUUCUAGAUAAAAGAUCAGAUUUCUAAAGCCGGAACAUGGGUUCUAAUUAAAUAUGGGUUAAGAAUAAAUGUCUGCUCUAUUUAUGCAUGUGUUUCUCUAUUUUAUUUACACACCGCAAGCAUUACAUCUUAGUUGCUGAUUUUAUUUUUUUUGUGAGCUGAGAGUAACAACGUCUGUGUGCCUAUGCAGUUUCUAAACUUGCAAACAAGGAUCAUUUAGAACUACUGACAACAAAAAGAUGACACCCAACGUAGCAUUUUGUAGUGAAUUAUUUGUAGGCAGCAAUAUUUAGGCAGGAUAUUUAUAGGCAGCAAUAUAUAGGCAGGAAAUACACUAUACUCAGUACACACUUUAGGGGAAAGUGUUCUGGAACACAACAAAAAGAAUAGAACAGUGAAAAUAGAGGCAGAGAAGAUUAUGACUUCAGCCCAGGUGGAUUACAAGAACUCGAUCUUUCUCUUGUGUUUAGCCCUACACAUGCAAGCUCAACAUUAAUAAACGAAUGAUGCAAGAACAGCAUACCCCAAUAAACUGAAGAAUGUGUGAUGAAAAAAUGCAAACGAGGAUAAAGAGAACAACCCGAACAACAUACAUCUGAUGCAAAUCAAUGUACUGAACGCUGAGACUAAGAAUGGGCAUAAAAACCGUAAUAAUCUCCAUAUUGCACCAAGCUCGUCGCCUCACCAUGCACCGUCUUCUCAUCUUCCCAUCGACCGCUAGGGUUUCACGAGAGGGGGAAGAGGCGAGCGGGGUCUGGGAACGGGGAAGAGAACGUAUGCCGCAGGAAAUAGAUGGGGGAGCGUUGCCACGGCGCUGGUAAGGGGGAAGAGAAGGGCCGCGAGGUCUUGAUGAAGAGCGAGGUGGCUUGAUCAGGCGGCAGUUCUCGCGCGGCCAUGGGCUACAGCGAGGCGGCGGCAUCUUGGAGGAGGGCCUAGGGCUAAGCGUCGUGAGCGAGGUGGCGAAGGAGAAGGGUCUGAAGGGGAUGGAAGUCGUCGGGUCCGACGGAGGAGUUGGGCACAGGUGAGCGGAGGGCGGCAGCGGCGCAAACCCCAGACCGGGUGACGGUGCUUCCGGGGGCUGUGGAGGGGAGCUACGCGUGGCGUGUGGGUUCGGCGCCGGUGAGCGGGGCAUGCGGCGGCCGUUGUGGAUCCGGCGGAGGAGGUGGAUGGGAUGGGAGGGGAGGGAGAGGGACGCAGCGGUGCUAGAAGGGAGGAGGCGGAGGGCAACUUUCGAGCGAGGGGGAAGAUCGGGGGUUUUUCUGCCGUACGAGGAGGGAGGCGGAAAAAUUUAAGCGGUGGCAUGGGUGGUAAUUUUCAUAAAGUGACCUGCUAAUACGUACUCCCUCCGUUUCAUAAUUCUUGUCAAAAUAUUACACGUAUCUAGUCACUUUUUAAGAAUAGAAACGUACAUUUUGGGACAUUUGAGACAAGAAUUAUGGAACUGAGGGAGUACUCCAUCCGACCUAAUUUUUUAAAAAUAAUACAAACUAUUAGGUGUGCCCGCGCGUUGUUACGGGUCAACAAAAACACAAACUAUUUUAUUUAUUUUUCUGUGUAGCCAGCUCAUGGCGCCGUCGAGGUCGGCAUGCGUGCAUGGUGGCAUCAGUUGUAAGACGGAGGAGGAGAAAUCGUGAAUAAGACAGGAGGAAAGAAAAUAACGGGAAAUGACAUAUUUGUUAUAAUUUUAACAAAAUUGACCUACGACGCCCAACCAUCACCACCAACUCCAAUUUAAUAGAUGGUAAUAUAUUAUUUAAUCAUUUUCGACAAUAAUACGCGUUUUAAAGAAAAUCAAAAAUAAUACGGCCUCAGCCUGGCCCUGGCCCACUGUGGGCCGCCAAGGCCGAUUAUUGUUGUCGAAAUAUCGUAUGCGAAUUGAGCCUAACUCAGCUGGUCUGGUUCCUUGUGGUGGAACCAGCCCACCCAAGUUUAAGUCCCAGACUUGGCGUAGGUGUCACGCUAAAGGUUCCACCCACUGUCUUGUUAAUCUCUGCAACCGUGUUUUAAAUUUUGAUUAGCCGAAGUGCCCGUGCGUUGUGUAUAACUUUUGACCUAUCAGGAUAAAUAUUUGUUUCAUUCUCCAACUUCCCUUCUCUCUGAUUGCAUUUUUAUUGCUAAUCACGUUUGCCACAUGGUAACUUCCCUUCUCUCUGGCAACCACUAUGCAUCUCAUCUCAGCCAGUUACCUUCCUUGAAGCAUACGAAGUAGAAAAUACCUAGCCCAAAGUACAAAAUAGAUCUUCUUAAAGCAUACAAAGCUAUAACUGACAAACAUGAUAGGUGUACCUCGGCUUCUAGAUAGAAGCACGUUACGAUAACUAUGAUCAGAAUCAGGAGUAACAAGCACAUACCUUUGAUGAUUCGGCAGAAUGAAAUCCAUUAGGAUUGUUGGGUGUUUUAGCACCGUUUCAUGAACCAUGAUCAGGAAUUGUCCAGUUAAUACCCAGCAACUGAUAAGGCUAUGUUGGAGCAGCUAGCUGCUGCUGCUUGUCUUCUUCCUCGUCUGCUCCAGCCUGCAGGUUUUCUGCCGCGGCAGGAAUCUGCAACCCCAGUUCUUCUUCUCUGUCGCUGAAGCUCCCUCUCUCAUGAUAUCUCUUUUCUUGGCAACACCAUGAACAUAAGGAAGACAGGGUCUGGGCCUCGAGGCUGCCUCUCACAGCCCGAGAUUUUCCCCUUUCCUAUUCUUCUUUCUGUUUCCAAAAACAAGAUUACAAAGCAUGCCUUAAAUAACAGCCAAUCUCAGGUCGUUAGCCCCUAAACUCACGCUAUACGUGCAACUAGCCGAGAUGUGCCUCUCCUGAAAUCACUCCCACAACUCGGCCAACUCCUAACAAUCUUUCCAUACUAUCCUGAAAUCUCUCCAAGAGUUGCCUAAUGCGUUGGGCCAUCUUCUGAACUCAAUCGAUUGAUGCUUGAUUGAAUAUUUGCUUGUGGGCGAAUGUUUCCUCGGAAGGGGUGGGGGGACCGGGUUUUUCAGAAAAAAAAAUUCGGUGGGGGGUGGGAGGACGUACAGUAACCACGGACGUAACUGUGACUUAAGUAGUAGUAAAGAUUCAUGAUGCGAUAACAUUUUCGUGAUCGAUUCAAGAUUUUGUUAACUCAAAGUUUUUAGUUAUUUUUUGUCAAAUUCAUCACACAAGAUGAAAUGUUUAAAGUUCCUUUGACCACUAGCUAGCUUCGUCUCCUCGUUCCACGCUACUCUCACGUUGUGAAUUUUAAAUUUUGAUUGUCAUGACAACGUGGUUAUGAGCCGUGAGCUUGUGACACGUGCUUGUCUCUUUGUGCGCGCCUUUCUCCAUCCACUUAUCGAGUGCUCUCUUAAUCAUCUUUUUUUGGCCAGUUCAUCGGUUUAUGAUGAUCUCUACACGAAAAAAAGAUGCAUGACGACUUAAUGACGAUGUGAUUUCAUUGCGGUAAUCAAUUUUGAGUUUUGUUUGCUAUAAGGUCUACUAUAACUCCUCAAUCUCGUGUUUACGUUUGGAGUUUUUACAUCGAUCUCAUCAGUCAUCGUACUUGUUCGAGCGUUUCAAAAUUCCUUUGAGCGACCACUAGCUUUAUCUCGUUGUUCCACACAACUCUCAUGUUGUAAUUUUAAAAUUUCAAGGGCUGUACGUACGUAGACGAAGUGGUUACGAGUUAUUUACAAGUGCGAUGGUGUGGUGUAGAUACAAAUAGGAUGUAAGUUCACCGUGUUUAAGAAGAGGUGAGAGCAAAACCAUCAGAAUGGACACCCGAACUUAAUUUGCAUCUGGAGCUCACACAUGUACAGGCAACCAAACAACUUAACCUGCACACGUUUCUACUCUCGUGCAAUACAGGCAACCAAACGAUGUGCUGGUUCAAGCUGUCCUCUCCGACAUGCCAAUCUACAACAUGCUUUAAUUUGCCCUUGAUCUGCCUUCCUGGGUGAGCAAAGCAACUGACAAAUUCCGGCGGGGUUAAGUUUCCUGUGGAUGGGUUCUAUCGAUGCUAAAGGGCGGCUGCUGCCAAGAUCGCCGGCGAGUGCCUGGCCGAAGUUCGUGCUGCGUCCACUUCCCGCUCCCUCCUCCACGCCUCUUGCUCUUUCUGGCGGGACAGGUGGCUGGACGGGGAGUGCAUUGAGGAUCUGCCCCCCUCGUUGUUCUGUCACGUCGAUCCUUUCGGCCUUGCUCGGGGCGCGUGAGUAUCUCGCUCUGUGGGCUAUGUUCCUCGGGUCCAUGUCCGCUAGCUUUGACACCGUCUGGCGUUCCUAAGACCCCGCUCAAAUUUCAAAUUUUUGCUGGACGGUCUUCAGAGAUCGUUGCUGGACCGGUGAGCGCCGGGUGUACCACGGCCUUGCUGAGGAUGAGACCUGCCUCCUAUCCUAUGUGAUCAAGAAUUCGAGACCAUCGACCAGAAAAGUUGUUCCUCUCUUGGCCCACUAGAAAUCGCAAAUCCUUCGAUGGCAUUGUCCUCCCUGACCCUGCGCUCGAGAGUGCCCUAAAAAAAUUUGGCUCCAGAGAGAACGCCGCAUUUUUCAGGACUGUGGCGUCUCGGUUCGGUGGAGAAGCUCUCACACGAAAUCGCGGACGAAAGCAAGAGGUGGAAGUAUGUGGGGCUCCUGAGAGAGUAGCUCCUUAGGGGUGUUCUUUCUUUCUUUUUCCUUUUGUUUCAAAAAAAAAAAGGCACACCUAUCUCGUGUGGUUCCUAAAAAAAACGUGGCUUUAAGCUUGUACGCGGCAAAACUUGCUCCAUAGGGCCAGGUUGCCAGCAUUCAGGAAAUCGACGCAAGACUUUCACUGAAUUAGUACUUUAGGACAAGAGUUUUACUGGAUUAAUACUCUAUUUAUAGUUCAACGAGUCAGACUCCUGCAUUUCAGGAAACAUGUAGUUUUUUCUACUUGAGACGGCAUUAUAUGUAAUUGAGAUAAUUCUUGUGUUUGGUCGUAACAAUAGAACCAUUUGGUUCCUCAAACAGAAAUGUUCCUCUAAUAUGCCUAACCAUCUAAUUUUUUUUAAAAAAAAAGGAAAUUAGGAAUCACUUGGUUCCAAAUGAAACCAGUGGUUCUAGGUGUUUGGUUUAGAACAUAGAAAAAAUAGAACAUUUCCAUUCCAUUCCCGUAGGAAUAGAACCGUUACGUUCCACUCUCCAACCAUGUACUCCUUCCGUCCCAAAAUAACGGAGGGAGUAGCUUAUACGAUGCAAACUCAGAUUCCAACAGUUCAACCGCAUUAGAGGCAUUACAGGAUUGCUCAUUUCCACCUUCCUCUUUCAUUAGAGGCAUAUCAUCAGUUUCUGGAGUUAAUGAACACCAUUGAUCAGCUUGCUCUUGUAGAUCGGAACGGGUAGAUAGCUCUACUGUGAUACAACAUGGCAUUCGGGAUUGAGAGAGAGAGAGAGAAGGAGAUGGGUACCUUCCCCUUGGCUGCUCAAAGAUGCCGGCGUGGACGACAUGACGGAGAGGGAGAGUGACGGCGGCGGGGGGCGACGGCGUGGACGGAGCUUCCCGUCGCUCUCUGCGCAACCCUAGAUUGGUAGGGGUAUUUCGGUGGGGUGGUGGCAACGCGACAAACCUCGUAGUGCCUGCCCCGGCCCCCCACCUCUUUAUAUAGCGCAGCGCGACAGGGGCCCACCAACCAUAUUGGGUUGGCGCCCUCGAUCAGGACGCGUCAGAUCUAAACCCGAUGGGCCGUUGGGCCCACACGGCUGGGAGAUCAACCCUAACAUUCUCCCCCUUCAUCUCUACUUUCUUUUAACUGUAUACCUUUUGCUUUACUUGUUUCACCACCGAUUAGUAUAUAGAGCAUGUUUCAUCGUCUCAGCUCAAUUGCCGAUAGAAUCAGACAGUACGACAUACCUUUCCAUCUUGAAACAAAUUCUGUUCUUUUCGGGCUAAUCUUUAUCCAGGAAUCAUAGGCUUUCCCUUAAACACAAGCCGGCUCAGUGUUCCUUGAACACACUGGGUGGUAGGCCUUUCGUAAGCGGAUCCACAAGCAUAUCCUUUGUCUUUAUAUGCUCGAGACUUAUAGUGUGAUCCUGGAUUUUAUCUUUCACAACAUAAUACUUUAUCUCUAUUGGUUUGGUAGCAUUACUCGACUUGUUGUUGUGAGUAUAAAACACUGCGGGCUGAUUGUCGCGGUACAUCUUUAGUGGUUUGUCAAUACAAUCCACUAAUUUCAAGUCGGGUAUAAAUUUAUGUAACCAUAUCGUCUGCCCCGUGGCCUCAUAACAUGCUAUAAAUUCUGCAUGCAUCGUGGAUUAUGCAACUAUUGACUGUUUGGAACUUCUCCACGAAAUAGCCCCGCCUGCAAGAGUGAAUACAUAUCCAGGCGUGGAUUUUCUAUCAUCUUUAUCUCCCGCAAAAUCUGCAUCUGAAUACCCUUUUAUCUCUAGGUAAUCAGAUCUUCUAUAUGUUAGCACGAGGCCUUUUGUGCCUUGCGCGUAACGCAAUGCUUUCUUUACCAUUUUCAAGUGCUCUAUGCCUGGAUUUUCUUGAUAUCUACCGAGUACCCCGGUGAUAAAUGCUAAGUCAACCCCGGUGAUAAAUGCUAAGUCAGGGCGAGUGCACACUUGUGCAUACUGUAGGCUUCCAACAGCCGAAGCAUAUGGAACCGCUUUCAUUUGAUCGAUCUCGUAUUGACUUUUGGGACAUUGAAAUUUCCCAAAACUGUCGCUCUUGACUAUAGGAGCAGGUGUGGCAUUGCUCGCAUGCAUAUUGUAUUUCUUUAUAAUCUUUUCUAAAUAUGCCUUUGCGAUAGUCCUAGCACCCCAUUUUUCCUAUCUCGGUGAAUUUCUAUGCCCAAGACAUAUGAAGCUUCACCAAGAUCUUUCAUAUCAAAGUUUGAGGACAAAAACUUCUUUGUUUCUAGUAGUAGACUGACAUCGCUGCUAGCAAGCAGGAUAUCAUCCACAUACAGAAUUAGGAAAAUAUAUUUCUCACCUUUAAACUUUGCAUAAACGCAGUUGUCCUCAACAUUAUCUUUAAACCCAAAUUUCUUAAUAGUCCCAUUAAACUUUAGAUACCACUGUCUAGAGGCUUGUUUUAAUCCAUAAAUAGAUUUCUUUAGGCGGCAUCCCAUGUUUUCCUUGCCUUCCAUGAUAAAACCCUUGGGUUGUUUCAUGUAGAUCAUUUCUUCUAAAUCCCCAUUUAGAAAUGACGUCUUUACAUCCAUCUGAUGUAGCUCUAAAUCAAAAUGUGCCACCAGUGCCAUUAUUAUUCUGAAGGAAUCUUUGCAUGAGACUGGUGAAAAUGUCUCAUUGUAAUCUAUUCUUUCUCUUUGUGUAAAUCCUUUUGCCACGAGUCGUGCUUUGUAUUUUUCUAUAUUCCCUCUAGAGUCAUAUUUGGUUUUGUACACCCAUUUACAGCCUACCGUUUUGGCUCCUUUAGGAAUUUCAUCUAAGUCCCAAACUUCGUUGGAACUCAUCGAUCUCAUCUCAUCUUCCAUGGCCUCCAGCCACUUCGAUGAGUGAGAACUACUCAUGGCUUCUUCAUAUGAAGUGGGAUCAUUCUCCAUAUGAACUCUUUCUGUAUUAUAAAUUUUAUAAUCUUUUGGAAUGGAUGACUUUUUAACUCUUUGAGACCUUCUAGGGCCUCAUUUUCUGGCACGUUCUGUGUCUCUACAUGUGGCGCAUGUUCGGGCUGCUGCAGCUCCCUUUCAUGUGCAACAAUGGGUUGAGUCGGCUCCUGAAGGACAGGCUCCGGACCUUCACUCAUUGUUGCCAUGUGUGGAGUCGCAACAGGUGUCGGCACCACAAUCUCAGGGAUUGUCGGUGCGGCAUCAACAGGUAGUGAAAAGAAUGGCUCCUGAGUCUUCGGAUUAGGUGCAUGCACCCUCUUCUCUUCAAGAUCAACUUUUCGAGCUACCGUGCUCCCCCUCAUCAUUUCGUCCUCUAAGAAGACGGCGUGUCUCAUUUCCAAAAACUUAGCGUAUCUGUCUGGACAGUAGAAACGAAAACCUUUUGAUCUUUCAGGGUAGCCAAUGAAAUAGCAACUUACUGUCUUGGUAUCCAACUUUGCAAUAUUUGGGUUAAACACUUUGGCCUCAGCUGGGUUCCUCCACACCCGCAGGUGUUGUAGAGAGGGCACUCUUCCUGUCCAUAGCUCGUACGGUGUUUUGGGGACCGACUUGCUUGACACUCUAUUGAGAAUGUGAAUGGCGGUUUUUAAUGCCUCCAUCUACAAUCCCAACAGUAAUGUGGAAUAACUCAUCAUACUGCGCACCAUAUCCAUAAGGGUACGGUUACGCCUUUUAGCUACUCCAUUUUGCUGAGGCUCGCCCGGCAUUAAAUACUGGGCAACUAUUCCAGUCUCCUGUAGAAACCUUGCAAAAGGUCCAGAGACUUGGCCAUAUGGGGUGUGCCGACCGUAGUACUCCCCCCCCCCCCCAGUCAGAUCUUACUAUCUUUAUCUUUUUAUCAUGCUGAUUUUCAACUUCAGCCUUGAAUAUUUUAAAUUUAUCCAAUGCUUCUGACCUUUCUUUUAUUGGAUAAAUGUAACCAUAACGGGAGUAGUCGUCUGCGAAUGUUAUGAACGAGUCAUAACCAUCCACACUUUUCACAGGAAAUGGUCCACAAAUGUCAGCGUGAAUAAUUUUGAGUGUGCUGGUGCUACGUAUUGCACCCUUUUUAUUUGUUUUACAUACUUUCCUUUAAUGCAAUCUACGCAUUGCUCUAUUUCUGAUAACUCUAAUGGAGGAAGAAUUUCUGUUUUAACAAGUCUUUCUAUUCUCCCCCUCGAAAUAUGGCCUUAACGACAGUGCCAUAAUUUCGAUGAUUCAUUAGUCUUCUUUCUUUUCUUUUGUACUUUCUCCGACGCAGCAACAUGUUCAUUCACUUUACACACAGAAUGUACUUUUUCACGUAUGGAUAAUAAAUAAAGUUCAUUGUGAAGGAAGGCAACACCCACACAAUCAUUAUUAAACCAUAUGGCACACUUGCCAUGUCCAAAAUGACAUUCAUAAUCAACUUUGUCCAAACGUGAUAUACUAAUCAAGUUUCUGUGUAAUGAAGGAACAUAAAACACAUCUUUAAGAUGGAUCGUAAAUCCAUCGGGAAGCUCCAAGGAGAUGUCGCCGACAGCCUCUACGUCCGCUUGCACUCCAUUUGCAACUUCAAUGCAUCUUUCGUUUCUUUGCGUACUCCACGUCAAACGGAAUCCCUGUAAAGAAUUUGCAACAUGAACAGUUGCACCAGAGUCAAUCCACCAAGUAGAUUUCGAAAAGUGUGUAUACAAGGAUUCAUUUACAAAGGAAAUGGAGUUUAUACCAUUCUUUGCCAUGAUUGACUUUAGCCAUUCCGAGCAAUUUUUCUUGUAAUGCCCGGUCUUGUUACAAUGGAGGCAUGUAUCUUUGUCCACUGGAAGAGUCUUUUGCUGUUGCUGAUGUUGCAUGCGAGCUUUACCAUGUGGCUUUGAAGGAGAAAUUUGAUUGCCUUGAGCGAAGUCCUUUUUCUUAUUAUCCCUCACAUAGUUCAGCGAACCACCAUACGAGGAUUUAAUUCUAUCCUCCUCUUACACACACAUGGCUAUAGUAUUUUCAAUAUCCCACCGCUCUGGUUGCAUAUUGUAGUUGACAACAAAAGUGUCAAACUCUUUUGGCAAUGAAGCCAUAAUGAUAUGAACAAGCAUUGCAGGCUUAAUCUUUAGAUCAGCAUCCAUGGGCUUCAACUUAGAAGCCAUGUUGCUCAUUCUAAGAAUAUGCUCUCUUAUGCCAUGUCCCCCUCUUGUGUACUUUUCUGUCACCAGCUGCUUCAGCAGCUGGGUAGCAUAUGUCUUUGAAGAACCAGUAAACUGGCUCUUUAUCUUUUCAAGAUACUCCCCUAUGGAAGCACAUUCUGCAAUUGAGCCCACAAUAGCAUGCUCAAUUGUGUUCUUUAUGAAAGCCAUGCAUUUUUUAUUGGCGGUGAGCCACUUUUUGUUCUCGAGGGUGUAUGACAUCUCCAAUGGAGUAUACUCCCUCUUCUUUUUCUCCCAAGCAUCAUCAUCAUCUUUUGCAUCCCUGACUGGCUCUGUAGGCUUUGGUGGCUGUGGAGUGUCAACCACCCAGUCCACCUCGGCACAAACAAAAGUCAGGUCCACUUUAUUUUUUCACUCAGUGUAAUUGUUACCCCCGAGGGUUGGUACGUCCUUGAGGCAUCCCAUCAAGUAGUACCCUCUUGAAACCACAAUGACGUGAGAAGAUAACAACAAUUGCAGGCAUUAAUCCAACGUUGGUCAAAAUUGAUACAUACAACUGUUUGUGCAAUUUAAUCUAUAUCACCAUUGGGCAGAAAAUAGAAUUAAAUGCAUACUUUAGCCAUUAAUCAUGAUCAUGCUAUUAAUGACGUUGGUCAAGAAAAAUUAACACAGUCACAAUUAACAUAAUAAACACUUUUAAUCACGUUCUUUUGAUUUAAACAAUACUUUUAAAAUAUUUGCAGCGGAAACUAUGAACAAAAACUAUAACUCUAUACUUUUCAGAAGCAUCAUUUUGCACUCCCACCUAGGGCACCCGGCCCAACCAGGGGGCAGCCACGCCAGCUUCCUCCUCAGCCGCCCGAUUCAAUCGGACGGCUGAGCUUGCUUUUCGCCCGAGAUAAAAGAUCUGCCGGCCGAAACCCUAAUCAGUCACCAAAACCCUAACCAACUUUUCCCCACUGUUCUCUUCUUUGCGGCGGCGGCGGAGAAAAUCUUGGCUGGAGCCGACCGCCGGCGACGGCGAGCUUCGCCGCCGGCCUCUCCUCCCAACCUCCUCCUUACCCUUGCUUGCGGCGCCCCCCUGGCCCCCUUGCCGGCGCGCGCGUGCACUCGAAGGUGCAUGCGUCGCCGCCAAGAUGGGUCGUUGGGCCCACACGGCUGGGAGAUCAACUCUAACACCUCCGUCCAAAAUAACGGAGGGGGUAGCUUAUACGAUGCAAACUCAGAUUCCAAUAGUUCAACUGCAUUAGAGGCAUUACAGGAUUGCUCAUUUCCACCUUCCUCUUUCAUUAGAGGCAUAUCAUCAGUUUCUGGAGUUAAUGAACACCAUUGAUCAGCUUGCUCUUGUCAAUGAGCCUGAUGUGUGGACCACUGUUGGGGCCAAAGAGGCAGAUUAUAUGAUUCUUUGGUUGAUCAUGUUGAUAUCCAUGCUGCUUUCAAUUGGAAUUGGGACUCCAACUGUCAGGUCAGACAUAAGAUCUUCUGCUGGCUGCAGGGGCGGGCAGACCUUGAGGCAAAGGUAUUCAGCUGAAUACCAAUUAUUUUCGUCAAAAAUCAAUAUAUAGAUAAUAUAUAGUAAAAGAAAAAAAAAUCAUAAUAACAAAGUAUUCAAUCAAGCCCACCUUUUCAGCUACCUCCUCCCUUGGCCCAGUGGCACAAUUUGCAAUCUUAACUGAAUCCAAUUCAGAAUUUCUCAAUUUUAACUGCAAACAACAUAUUUUUUUUCUUUGGUUUCAGAAUUCGAAUACCAAUUCUCAAAACCCUGGGCCCGCCCCUGGCUGGCUGCUGCUCAUUGACAGGCUAUACACCAGAGACAUGCUCCUCAAGAAGAAUUUCCAUUUGCCAUCUUAUGAUUGCAUCCUCUAUCAGCAGUUGCACCCAGAGACUAGAAAUCAUCUCUUCUUUCACUGUCCUUUCACCCUUGUGUGCUGGCGCUAUCUUUGCCCGCAGUUUUCUCCGCGGGCAAAUGUUCUUCACUGCAUAAUGGAUAUCAGGAACCAGCUAAAUCUUCCUUUUAGUAUGGAUAUUAUCACCCUGGCCUGCUGGAGCAUCCGGAGAGUUCGUAAUGAUUUCAUUUUUAAUAAUGUGCAACCCUCUCUCUAUAUAGAUGUAGACGUAUGUUCACGGAGGAGCUGAACUUAGUUUUUCAUCAGGCCAAGAGAAAGCACCGUCACCCCAUGAGCGAGUGGCUUAGGGCCUUUCAUUAACUUUGUAACAUUAUAUAUUACAUCUGUAAAUAUUUAGCAAUAAAAUUUGUAGAUCAUUUGAUCUACAGUUUUUCCCUAAAAAAAAGAACAGUUCAACUGCACGACGACGACUCCCGCUGUUGACAUGAACGAAGUUCAGGGGAAUUUGAUUUAAUACAAGUACAAAGUUCCUCACAACGUCAUGAAGCAAGCACUGUUAGCUGUGGCUGCCUGUUAAUACAAGUUUUUUUUUUGGUUAAGCUGUUGCCUUGUGACCAUGAGGUCACGGGUUCGAGUCCUGGAAACAGUCUCUUGCAGAGAUGCAGGGAAAGGCUGCGUACAAAAGACCCAAAGUGGUCGGACCCUUCCCCGAACCCUGCGCAAGCGGGAGCUACAUGCACCGGGCUGCCCUUUGUGAGAUCGAGAUAGGCAAUCAGAGGGGGGGUGAAUGAUUGCGCGGAAGCAAAUUAAAACUUUUCCCAAAAGUUCAAACCCUAAAUCACCUUUCUGUCCGUGAUAGUAAAACAGCCGUAACUUUUGAUUGGAUGAACCAAAAAAUACGUAUGAGUAUGGAAAAGAAAGGUAUUAAAAUUAUCUAACCAACGCAACAAGAAUCAGCUCAAUCGGACUUACAAAUCAAAAGAUAUGAUCAAAAUAGUAACAUCUGACAGAAAGUUACGAGGAUUAAUCUAAAACCAAUUUCGAGGAAUAACAAGAAAGAUGAAUUAAUUGCAAUUUUCUCUUGAUCUCGUGAUAAAUCUGCAGCAAAGUAUUAUGAACUUGUGAUAAAUCUGCACCAAAGUAUUAGAAAGAUCUAGCACGAAGAUUUCACGAAGAUCCAAGAAGAACAGAGAUGACACCGCCAACGAAUCUCUUUAUUGCAACGAUGUCGAUCGAUUACAAAAGAUGCAAUCAUGCAUCCAAGAACUCUCCAAAAAUUGAUCUAGAUCCAAAGCUUUGAGUUCCCUCACGUCCUUGCUAAAACCCUAGCUAGGAUGCCCUCUAUUUAUAAGGGAAAAUUCGCAACCCUAAACCGAAUCCGAAUCCAACACGGACUCCUCUGUCCCGGUCAGUAUUUUGCCCGUGGGGCCCGCAUACGACCUCGGAUUGAGAUGACUCCAAAAGUAAAGUUGUUCGUAUCGACGACGCGCACAACUUUCAUGUGGAUCGCUUUUCCAUCCGACACCAUCUUGAUGACGCUACUAUUUAAUCUUUAAACAACUCUCAUCCAGCCACGGCUGGACCUACAUAUCUUGACCUUGAUGUCACUUCAUGCCAUCAACUCUUCUUGUGAUGUCUUCAAAACUCGACCAUCACGUAUCGAAUAUCUCCAAUACCGUACAUCUCCGGUAUAAACAACAUACGACAAACCGGUGCCCUCCCGGAUCAUCGUAGCCUUCACUUCCAUUGUUCCUUCGCACGAACGUCCCGCAUGACCUUGAUCCUCGACCUCAGCUUCCCAAGCUUCGUCUCUCGAUCCCGUCAUCGACCACGUUCUUCUAGCUCCGGCAACACCUAAAAGUGAACACACAAAUAACCAGUACGAGCACAAGUCCACGACUUGACUCAGGGUAAGUUUCACACAACUCACGCCAUGUUUUCACAUAAGAAACUAAUGGAUCAGCACACCACUAGCAAAGCACUAAGUCCAAACAAGAUACAUGUCAUCACUUAAAUAUCCAUAUUAUCCAAAGUAUCCACAUCAAUGUUUCAUCUAAAACACUUGCCAAUGUUACACAUCACAUAUGAUUUCACACCCUUUUAUACAAAAUACAUGCAAGAUUUUCUUAAUUGAAUAUUUCAUUGGUAUCUUCCUGGUUCUAACGGAAAGAUUAUCACAUCCCAUAGUAUUCUGUUUCUAAUCCAGAUGUGCCCCGAAGAUAACUGUUAUAGCCUUGAACCGCUCUUCCUACUCCUGGAACUCGGACUCGUCUGCUGUAUUAUCUUAACUAGCAAAAGACCCGUGCGUUGCUACGGAACAACAGAAAAUUGUAUCAAAACGUUAAAUCAAAUGUUGAUGUGUUUCAUGGACACAUAUGUAUAUAACGAUUAUGAUAUGUUUAUUUUGUAGGCUAUACUCUGGUCUCUUUCUCUUUUGCACAUGUCUUAUUUUUAUAUCUCGUGUAAAGAGAAAGUGACACAUACUCAAUUCUUUUGCUUUCUACCUUUAGCUUAUCACUGUUCUCACGCAUAUGCCAUACUUGAAAGUCAUGUGUGAGCGUAUUUUAACUUUUUUGCUGAAUUGAUGAAGUGAUUCUCAAUAUAAUCAUGAAUAACGAAGAACAUGUAGCAAUGACAACGUUUAUCACUUCCAUCCAACCAAGCCGCUCGACCUCUUGUGUCGUGAUGAUUUAAACAACAAGCAUCAGUAUAUCGAUAAGCAGCAACCGCCAUCAUAUAAAGCAAGCGGCAGUAUAAAGCAGCCUUCCUGCUCUCCUAUUACUCCUACUCCCUACUUUAUUUCUCAAAUCACUUCUCCUAAUUUCUCUCGCUCUCCCUCUGACUAUCCUCUCCAUCCACCCUGAGUGCAAACUCCUCCUCUCCCCGUCCCGAUUCAUCCCGCCACCGAACAUUGCGCGGCUGCCCGCUUGUGCGCACCGCCUCUACCCAUAGAUUUCCGCUGCCCGUCUACUCCCGCACGCCGCCUGCUCCCACUUGCUGCCCAGUACACCUGUGCGCCCUCUCACAGCCUUGUCCGUCCGUUCACCGCGCCCACGCGCCGCCCACUGGUCGCCGCGCGCCACUGCCCGUCGGGAGGGCCACCGAUGGCUCGCGCUGACGCGGUCCCUGCUGCCUUGCGUGAGGCCACCGCCAUCCCGGCCUCAGGCUCAUCCCAUCGCCGUCCAAGUCCCGCGGGGAGCCAUCAGCACACACGAGCCGGUGGGGGCGGCGAUCGGGGCGCGAGACGGAGCCGCGGGUCCGCAACCGCCUUCCGCACACGGACGCUGCCGACGCGCAUGAGCUGGUGGAGGCGACCAAGAGCGGCGGCGGGCGCUGGCGAGAUCCGAAUCGAGUGGGGGUGAGAUUCAUAGGAGAGGAUGAGCGAGAAGGGCUCUGUUGUUGUUUUUUUCUUUUUUGGGUAGUACGUGUUUUUUCUGCGCUUGAGGACCGCGGGAGCCGGGAUUAAAAGACGCGUGAGGACAGCGGUGGCAGAUUCGUAAUUUUAGUGAAGUGACGUACCGCGACGCCCGUAUCAUCACCACCAUCUCCAAUUUAAUAUAUUGGUACAGAUAUCCGACGGCCACAAUCAUCAUCGAUAUCCAUAAUGGCUUUAUGGAGCGCGUGAAGAGCUAUCUUGUUAACCUGGAUUCCAAGGUUCACACAGAAUUUCAGGAUUUAGCUCCGUAGAUCCAACUGGAAAAUGGAUGUUAAAGUCAACAGAUAUAACAGUAAUAGAGCAGCACAAAAAUUGGCAUAGUGUUGAUUAUUUCGAUGUAAAUGGAUACAUCAUGGGAGUAAUGAGAAAACAAUUGCCAGACCUCUAGUCUAUCUUCAUUCAUCAUAUGCCGUCCUGGAAGCUGCCAAAUUCUUCUCUCAACUUUAUGCACUCGUUCAGAUUUUCCGGAGAAACAAAGUUAAGUGCAACCUUUAUACAUGACUGCCCAAUAUCAAAUUAAGAGGUCAACAACUAUAAAAAGGUAAUGUUGUUGGAAAUAAUAGUAGCUUUCAGUUUAUCCUUAUGUUGCUUUAGAUCCGUUUUCUGUUUUGAUCAGGCCACGAGCAUUGCGAGGUUGUUGUGCAUGCCGUGACCAGUAGAUGCGUGAUCCGGUUUUGGCUCUGGUCGUGGGAUGGCAUGAUGCAGUAGAGGGGCCGAUCAGGGAGGCAACCGUUUCCUUUUCCCAUUGAAUAAAUAGAAGGAGAAGAAGCCCAGAAAAGCUGCAACGCUUACGCAGCACAAACCUUCGUCUCUCAGUGUUCAUCGAGUUCAUUCUUGCCGUAGCUAACACGUGGUAUCAGAGCCUCGUUGGAGGUGAUCCGUGAGAGAGAGAGAGAGAGAGUCAGGGAUGACGAAGUACGGCGAGAAAGGAAAGGGCUCCGGAGGCUCAGCGGAGGACGAGGCCACGCCCCAGGACGGCGGCUCCGUGGUCGUCCACCGGAGCGGCAGAGAUCAUAAUCUCCAGUCCACCCAAUUCCCCAUGCUCACCCGCUCCAACUACGGCGAAUGGUCCAUCCUCAUGAAGGUAAUCCUGCAGACCUGCUAUCUGUGGGAAGCGGUAACUGUCAGCACGGAGGUGUUCGGGGACGAGCGCAGUGCGAUGGAGGCGAUCCCUCCGUUCUGUGCCUCUUGAACUCGUGACGGUGCUUGGCACGAAGAAGACCGCCAAGGACGCCUGGGACGCGCUGAAGUCCAUGCGAAUGGGGUCAGCGGCGGUCCGCGAGGUGAGGGCGCAAGGACUCUGUAAGGAGUUCGAAGCGUUUGGCUUUCGCUCCGGUGAGACGAUCGACGACCGCAUCAUGCGCCUCACCACGCUCGUCGGCAAGAUGGCGGAUCAAGGCGAGGUGGUCACGGAGGGCAAGAUGGUGCGCAAAUUCCUGCGCGCCGUCCCACGCCAGUUCGCCCUGGUCGCGUACACCAUGGAUACGACCAUCGACCUCGACACCACGUCGAUCGAAGAUAUUGCAGGUCGCCUGAAGGGUGCCGAGGAGCGCCUGGCACAAGAUGGCGAAGGGGGCGCCGGCAGCCAGCUUCUGCUCACUGAGGCAGAAUGGCGUGCCCGGUCCAAAUGCCACGACGACGACGGAUCCGGCAGUAGCGGCGGCAGCAAAUCGCGCGGUGGCAGGAAGCGCGGCAAGGGGAAAGCCGCGGCCAAACCUGCCCCUCCUGCCGCGGCAGGAGACGAGCCGGCCAAGGAUCAAUACCGUUACUGCGGUAAACUCGGGCACUGGGCCUGUGACUGCAGGAAGAAGAAGAAGGACGAGGCCCAGCUCGUCCAGCAUGCCGGCGGCGACGACGACGAACCAACGCUGCUGAUGGCGACUGCGGCGAUCUCGUUGCCGGAAGCCCAGCACGUCGCCGGCCAAGUCUUCCUCAACGAGGAGUGCGCGGAGGCUCACCUUCGGCGUGGCAGCGAGAACUGCAACGGCAAGUGGUACCUUGACUCAGGCGCGUCGAACCACAUGUCUGGCGAUCGUGCUGCGUUCGCCGACCUCGACGAGAACGCCCACGGCAAGGUGAAGUUUGGCGAUGGCUCCCUGGUGGAUAUCUGCGGGAAGGGCUCGGUGCUUUUCUCAAUUCGCUCCGGCGAGCACCAUGCCCUGACCGAGGUGCACUACAUCCCUCGCCUGCGGACCAGCAUCGUCAACCUCGGGCAGCUUGACGAGAAUGACUGCGACAUGCGCAUCUAUCGCGGGGUGAUGACCCUGCGCGACCGCCGGAACCAUCUUCUUGCCGAGGUACCUCGUAAUUCUAGUCGCCUCUACGUCGUUCGCCUGCAGAUUGCUCGCCCCGUGUGCCUGUCCGCGCACGCGCAGGACGAUGCCUGGCGCUGGCAUGCGCGACUCGGGCAUAGAACUUCCAGUCGUUGGCACGCAUGGCGUGUGACGGCCUGUUCCGCGGGCUGCCACUCCUGGAGCACGUGGAGUAGUUGUGCGAGGCGUGUCUUGCCGGCAAGCAGCGGCUGGCGUAGUUUCCGCAGAAGGCCAAGUACCGCGCGACAGAGCCCCUGGAGCUCGUUCACGCGGACCUAUGUGGCCCGAUCGCCCCGGCGACACCACACGGGAACAAGUACUUCAUGCUCCUCGUCGACGACUACAGUCAGCACAUGUGGCUCGUCCUUCUCCCAGCGAAGGAUGCGGCCGUGCCGGCGAUCAAGCAGUACCAGGCGGCGGCCGAGGUGCAGUCCGGCAAGGCGCUCCGCACGUUCCGAACCGAUCGAGGGGGAGAGUUCACAUCGAACGAUAUCUCCAUGUACUUCGCCGACAACGGCGUGCAGCGGCACCUCACCGCGCCGUAUUCUCCACAGCAGAACGGAGUCGUGGAGCGCCGCAACCAAACCAUCGUCGCCAUGGCAAGGAGCAUGAUGAAGGCCAAGAACGUGCCGGCCAAGUUUUGGGGCGAGGCGGUGUCGACUACGGUCUACAUCCUGAACCGCUCAUUCACCCACAGCCUCGAUGGGAUGACGCCACACGAGGCCUGGCACGGCGCGAAGCCGGACAUCCACUACCUGCGCACCUUCGGCUGCGUCGCUCAUGUUAAGGUAACUCGGCCAAAUCUGAAGAAACUUGAUGAUAGAUCUGUGCCGAUGGUGUUCCUAGGGUACGAGUUGGGCUCCAAAGCCUACCGCUACUACGACCCGACGACCCAGUGAGUCCAUAUCUCUCGCGAUGUGGUCUUCGAUGAAGGCGCAAGCGGGGCGUGGGGGGAGCAAGCCGACGAGGUAACGGGCAUGGAGUUCACUCUCCCUGUGCCAGGAUUCGGGGGAGCUUCUGCCGCGCGCUCUGCCGCGGCAGGAUCUGCGGCAGAACCCAGCGACAACGUUGGAUCUGCUACAGUGCAGGGCGACGCCACUCUGUCUGCCGCUGCAGACUCUUCGCCUGCCGGGGCAGGAACUUCACCACGCACGCCGACACCCGCCGCGCGGCCCGUGGAGUUCGCGGCACCUCCGCCAUACGACCCCAGCAUGUUCAAUGCCGACGCAAACUCGGAGACGCACCACCGUUACCGAUGCGUUUCUGAUCUGCACACCCCGGGCGCACGCCGACUGGGCAGGCCGAGCGCCUGCUUCUUCUCCCGGUAGAUGAGCCGGACACGUUCGAGGCCGCUGAGCCUCACGAGUGCUGGCGCCUUGCCAUGCUCGAUGAGAUGCAGUGCAUCGAGGAGAAUGAGACCUGGGAGCUGACCGAUUUACCUGCAGGCAAACGCCCCAUCGGCCUCAAGUGGGUGUACAAGAUCAAGAAGGACGCCGCCGGGAACGUGAUCAAGCACAAGGCGCGUCUGGUCGCUAAGGGGUACGUGCAGAAGGCCGGCAUCGAUUUUGACGAGGUGUUCGCGCCGGUCGCCCGGCUCGACUCCGUGCGGCUGAUCCUCGCCAUUGCCGCCCACAUCGGGGGGAAGGUGCACCACCUUGAUGUGAAAUCGGCGUUUCUCAACAGCGAGCUGGACGAGGAAGUCUACGUUGUGCAGCCGCUUGGCUUUGUGCGCAACGGCUGUGACAGCAAGGUGCUGCGCCUGAAGAAGGCGCUCUAUGGGCUCCAUCAGGCCCCUCGCGCGUGGAACACGAAGCUGGACGACACACUGUCACAGCUGGGCUUCACAAGGAGCCCAAACGAGCACGCCGUGUAUGCGCGUGGGGACAGCGACAAGCGUGUUCUCCUUGAUGUCUACGUCGACGAUCUCAUUGUGACGGGCGCCGAUGCGGACGAAGUUGAUCGCUUCAAGUUGCAGAUGAAGGAGUCGUUCAAGAUGAGCGACCUGGGUGAGCUCACCUACUACCUCGGCAUGGAGGUGCGCCUGGACGCAGACGGCAUCACCCUGUGUCAGGGCGGGUACGUCGACAAGAUCCUCCAGAAGGCUGGCAUGGCGGACUGCAACCCCGUGCAUGUGCCCAUGGAGGCCAGGCUCAAGCUCAGCAAGGAGAGCAAGAACCCGCCGAUGGACGCGACGCUCUACCGCAGCAUUGUCGGGAGCCUCCGGUACCUUGUGCACUCGAGGCCGGACAUCUCGUUCGCUGUGGGCUAUGUGAGCAGGUUCAUGGAGAAUCCGACGACGGAGCACUUCGGCGCCGUCAAGCACCUCUUGCGGUACAUUGCUGGUACUCGCAACUAUGGCUGCCAGUUCAUGAAGGGGAAGUCAGCGCGUCUAGUCGGCUACAGCGACUCGGACAUGGCUGGCAAUGUGGACGACCGGAAGAGCACA
rnacentral:lncRNA from 1 species